UCUAUAGCAGUACUCUAGAUGAACAUCUUGUCCAUUUAGAACUAGUGCUUGCUAGGAUGAGGGAGCACCAACUACUUGCCAAGCAGUCCAAGUGCUAUUUUGGGGUUCAGAGGUGGAAUACUUGGGUCAUUUCAUAUCAGCAGAAUGUGUAGCAAUAGAUCAUGCUAAAGUCAGUGCAAUGCAAAAUUGGCAUCUUCCUCAAACACUCAAACAUUUAAGGGGAUUCUUGGGAUUUGCAGGAUAUUAUAGGAGAUUUGUCAAUGGGCAUGGAACUGUUGCAAAACCAUUAACUGAAAUGUUAAAAAAAGACCAAUUUAGGUGGACACUUGAGGCUAAGACUGCAUUCUAGAAGAUCAAAGACUUGUUGACAACUGCUCAUGUGCUAGCUUUACCUGAUUUUGCACAGCAAUUCACCAUUAAAGUGGAUGCAUCAGUGCAAUGAAUAAGUGUUGUUUUGAUGCAAAGCAAUCAUCCUAAUGCUUUCAUUAGUAGGAUGUUGAAUCAACAACAACAAUCUAUGUCAACAUAUGAGAAGGAGCUGUUAGAUGUGGUUUUUGCAGUUCAAAAAUGUGAGAUUAUUUGCUUAAUAAGCACUUCAUCAUUAGAACUGGCCAUAGGAGGUUAAAGUAUAUACUAGAUCAAAGAUUAACUACUGAAUUUCAAUAAAAACGUCUGGUGAAGCUUAUGGAAUUUGACUUUUCUAUUGAAUACAAGCAAGGGAAAGAAAAUGUGGUUGUUAAUGCUUUGUCUCGAAUGGAAGGUGCAUAAUGUCAAGUAUUAAUUGUUCACACUGUGGAUUCAGAUAUGUUAGAAAGAAUUAAGAGAACUUGGAUUGGUGAUGCUAGUAUUCAAAGAAUAAUCAAUCAAGUGCAAGCUGCUCCAGCUAAACAUCCACAUUAACAUGGAAUGACAUAGAAUCGAGGAGAAAAGGCAAGUUGGUGGUAGGGAAAGAUGAUUCAUUGAGGCAUGAAUUAUUGAAAUGGAUCCAUGAGACAACUUCAGGAGGUCAUUCAGGCAGAAAUGCAACUAUUCAAAGAACUAAGAAUAUGGUUUACUGGAAGGGGUUGAACAAGGAUGUCAGAACCUUCAUUCAUCAAUGCUAUAUAUGCCAAAGGUGCAAAUAUGAUAUUUCUGCCUAUCUAGGGUUACUCCAGCCUUUACCCAUACCUGAACAUGUGUGGCAACAUAUUACAGUGGAUUUUAUUGACCUAGUUCGAAUGGUAAACAAGUUAUAUUUGUUGUAGUGGACAGGUUGAGUAAGGUUGCUCACUUCAUUCAACUUGCUCAUCCUUACACUACCACUAUUGUAGCCCAAGCUUUCAUGGUAUCAUGUCUUUAAGCUUCAUGGUUUUCCAGAUUCCAUCACAAGUGAUAGAGAUCCAGUGUUCAUUAAUAAGUUUUGGCAAGAUCUCAUGGCUUUUCAAGAGGUGCAAUUACAACUUUCAACUUCAUAUCACCCUCAAACUGAUGGACAAUCCGAGGUUGUGAAUAGAUGCUCGAAGACCUAUCUCAGAUGUAUAUAGGGGUGUAAGCGGUUCCGGUUUAAACUGCAAAACCGAUGGAACCGAACUGAACCAAACCGCAAAAUGUGGUUCGGUUCGGUUUCGCGGUUCAGUUCGGUUAAUUUUUUAAGGAACUGUUUAUGUUCGGUUCGGUUUAUGGUUUUAGAAAUUUAGGAACCAUUGGAACCGAACCGCAUAUUAAAGAAAUAUAUACUAGGGAUUAGAGAAUAAUGUUUUAUUAUUGUUUAAAUUCUUCAACCAACUUUCUAGCUUUAAAUUAUCAUUUUUUGUGUGAAUUGUAGUGUUAUAUAUGUUACUAAAUUGUUUCUUAGUAUCUUAUGAUUUGAAACAUAUUUUUCAACUUAUGUGAUAUUGAGUUUGAAACCAACAUAUAUCAUAUAUUGUUAUACAUGUAUUGUUACAUGUAUUACUAACUGAAAUGUAAGGUUAUAAAUGUAACUAUUAUAUAUUUUACUAAUUGAUAUAUAUAUUACUAAUCAUGAAUUGUAUUGUUAUAUAUGAUUCAUAAUUUUUUAUAAUAAUAGUAGUAAUGUUUAUCCUUUUAUGGAUAAACAAUAUCUCUUGUAAUAUAUUUUGAAUUUUCAAUUGAUACAAGAUUUUUUUAUAAAAAAAUAAAUGGAAAAACGUGGAACCGAACCGAACUAUUCAAGAGCGGUUCGGUUCAGUUCUUAUAGUUAAAUUUGUGGUUAAUUGAGUAGAACCGAACCAUAUAUUUUUUAUCGGUUCGGUCACUAAAAUGCAUCAAAAACCAAACCGAACCAAAUUUUUACACCCCUAGAUGUAUGUGUGCAGACAUGCCUCAAUAGUGGUCAAACUAGUUGCCCUUAGCUGAAUGGUGGUACAACACUACAUUCCACAUUGCAAUACAAACUACUCCUUAUGAAGUGGUUUAUGGUCAACCUCCUCCAUCACAUUUGCCUUAUUUACCAGGGGGAUCAAAAAUCCAGUUGGUAGAUAGGAUUUUGGCUAAAAGGGAAGAGAUGUUGAAGGUGCUUAAGUUCCAUCUUCGAAGAGCUCAAGAUAGAAUGAAGCAAAUGGCAGAUAAGCAUAGAAGUGAGAUACAAUUUCAUGAAGGAGACUUGUUGUACAUCAAAUUGCGGUCUUAUAAACAUAUUUCUGUUGUAGCUAGAGUGAAUGAAAAGCUUACUCCCAAAUGUUUUGGCCCCUACCCAAUUCUCAGUAAGGUUGGUUUAGUGGCUUACAAGGUGCAACUCCCUGAUCAUGCUAAAAUUCACAAUGUGUUCCAUGUUUCUCAACUUAAAAAACAUGUGGGACAAGCUCUUACUUCUACAAUCUUUCCUUCCAUUGCAACUCAUGAACCUAAUGCUAAGGAACCUGAGCUCAUUCUGGACAGAAUCACAGUCAAACGAAGAGGCCAAGCAAUGACCAAGGUGUUAGUUAAGUGAAAGCACCAACAAGUGUAUUUCAUGACUCUAAAGUCUUCAUUUUUCCUUCCUUCUCUUCCAAAAUUGAACUUGUAAAUGGAUCAAGUCUAUAAUUGACACUCUUUUAAACUGAGGGGGAAGGACAGUUGGUGGGGUCUAGUCCCUAUUCAGCCUAGAGUGAUACUUUUAUCCCUUUCAAUUGGGAGCCAGACUUUUAAUAGGAAAUCUUGAACAUACUACUCGUUUCCUUAUCCUACAUGUUACAACUCUUACAUAGGGAAGAGGAAGAUACUUUUCUCAUUAAAUUAGGUAACUACCUUCACAAAAUAUUCCUAGAGACCAAAUAAAUAGACGGGAAGCGUAUAAAGCGAAGAAUAAAGCUGCACAACGAAUUGCAAAAAUUGGCGAUGGAUCCAAAACAGGCAUCCUUCUUGAAACUCCAAAAGAUAACUGUUUUGACACAAUUUCUUACAACAGUCAAAUGAAUGAUUCCAUCAAAUUGGUAUUAAAGAUUGGCUGAUCAUUGUUUUAUAAAAUUGAAGUAAGAAAAUUCUACAAAGUACAUAUCCAUUGAACAAAUAUUUUCAAACAAAAUAUUCUCAUUCCAACCUCUCCAAUCAUAGUUUCAGUACAGAAAAUGGAAGCAUAUUAAGAUCAACUCAGUUAAAAUAUCAAGAAGCAUUAUUACCCUUUGUUGUGAUCUCAACUCAAGUUUCUGCUAUAUGGCACCGCUCCAUAUUUAAGUACUCAACUCAGACUUCAAGUUGAACUAGGACUUUGCCAUGUUGAUAUAUCAGUAAUAAGAUCACGCAGUUGAUCAAUGAGUAUCUUCAGGUGCAAGUUCUUGUUGGCAACCUCCUGUGUUUAUGAACAGUAGUUCGAAGUUUAACACAGCACAAAAACAUGAUUUUCAGACAACACUAGAUAAGCUCUCAAAACUUGAGUCUAGAACAAUUAUUUUUUUUGCAACACUAAUUUGUUUCAGAAGUAGUCAAGUAGAUUAAGUCUAAAACCCAUAAUAAGAGUUUUAUUAGUUUCAGUUAAUAGUAGCUCACAAACAUGAUUGACAAAUACGUGUUAACCUGAAUCCCAAUCCACGAAAAUCUGUGACUAAAGCGACAAUUUCAAUUGUUAGGAUUUGUAAACCUUAUUAUACCUACCUUUCUUAGAGAAGAGGCUUGCUCUGCCAACUUCUCAAUUUCUGCUUCAUCUGCAGGGCUAGCAUCUGAGCCGCUUCCAAAUGCUUUUGCCUAUGAUAUUAACUGAGUUAGUUUCACUAAGAAAUAAAAGCUCUAGUAUACGAAAGAAUAUUGAAAAACUCACAAUAAGUUGUAGUCCAAUAAAUAUUUAAGCAAAACAAUAAAACACACAACAAUGUGUUAUCUCCUUAAACAAAUGGAAGAAACGACACAACCUUUGGAUUUCAAACAAGAAAUGGGUUGGCUCCUUCAUAGAACAAGAGUUAAUGUCAGGCUAGGUCACAUGGCACCUAUCAAAGAUCCCUUAUAUUUCAAGACCAUGAGCGAGGUGCUACAUGAUGAAAAACUUGCACAUUAUGUUAGGAUGGUUUUGAUGCAACAUAGCAUAGUACUAGGGGAAGAUAUUAUGAAUGUGUAACAAUUUAACAAAGAGUUUGAUAUGUGUAAAGAAUAGGGACUUAUCCACGGAUUCCCAAGCAUGUUUGAGAUCAUGCUGUAAAGGGUAAUUCUACGUAUCAGUAUGUAUACAUAUUUGUAUUCAUUUCAAUAGACAGGGAUGCUUCAAAUAUAGUUUUGCAAAUAGUGAUGUUCGGCAAAAACUAUAUAAGAAGCAAGAAGUUGAAUGCAUGCGUCAACCCAUGCAUAAGAUACUAUCGCUACAGUUACAAAAGUAGAUACAAGAAAUGGGCUGGAAUUUCCUCAACCAACAUAAAAUAGAAUAAACCAACGAUCGAACUUAAAGAAAGAUAAAUUUUGGAAUACCACAGAAUAAACCUGUUUGUGUUGAUGCAAUGUCUGCUGCACUUCACAAACAAGAUCACCAAAAAACUGUAGUUUAGUAUCCUCCACACCUGAUGUACUGUUAACAUGUCUAUCCAAAUAUAAAUUAAACCAUCACCCUACUUUUGAAUGAUUACUCUUGCAUGUCUAACCAGUAACAACUAAACUAAAAUUUGAAGAUUAUUCACUAAAGGUAAAUUUAAUAAAGAAUAACAUUAUAAAAUUUAAAAAAAAAUGAUGCAUAGUGAAAGGAAUCCACUUUGACAAUCAUCUAAAGAAGUAAAGCUUUGCAAAUGUAACGAUGAUAUUAGAAAUGUCAAUAUUUAUGAGACUGCAUUUCAACUAGGAAGAAUAGGUACAACAUGGGACACCAAAGCUAUGACACAAGAGGAAACAUUGUUUUAAAUUGCAGUAAGGGUUACUGUAAUUGCGGCUGUUGCAAUUUGAAUUAUUUUGCGAUUAAAAAAAUAUUUUUGAAUUCAAUGUGGCUUGAUGCGGACUGAUGUGGUUGCCUUGCAGCCGGAGCGGCCGCAUCAUUGUGAUUUAGAGUCACACUGCAAUUGCGGUGUGAUACGGUUGGGGUGACAGCCAUAACAGGUGGUUCACUAUUUUAUUUUACCUUACUACCGAAUUCAGCAUACCACCUACAAUAUACCAGGUUCGUCAUAAACGAAGUCUUGUAAUAAUAAGAUAAGAAUAACAACCAUUACGAGCAAUGUACCAGAACCGGUACUGUGCAACUUAGACAUAUAUCAGGUUCGUCAUAAAGUAAGCCUCACAACUUUGGUGGAACAUAUUAAACCAUUAUAAAGUUCUAGCUUCAUAGUAAUCUUCAUUAAACAGAAAGAAUACGAUUAACCCAAGUUUGAAAACUAGGGUUCAAAAUGGUACCUUGUGGGAAUUGGGAAUUGCAGAAAGAGUAGUCUUAAGUGAAGCCACAGCAUUUUUAUACCGAAAUAGAGACUCCUCAAGAGCGCCACCAGCACCUCCACCGCCGCCGCUCUUGGCGUGGUGGUUGGAGUUAUCGGAAUUUGCAUCCCCAAUUGAAGAAGGAGCAUUAGGGUUAGGGGAUGUAGUAUUAGAAGGUGAUGGAGAAGUGAACCACAAAACGGGGUUGCAGAGUUCGUCGUUCAUAGAGGAAAGGAUCUGAAACGCGUAUUCUGUGGUUUCUUCAAGGUACUUCUGUCCUUCAAUUGCAAGCUCUUGUGUCGUUUUGGAACUGCUUGAGUUGCCGUUUACUGAGUCUUCUUCCAUUCUAACAACUCAAUUUGGGAAUAGGGGAAAUCGAUCAGUAAAAUUUGGUCUGAUGUGGAGAAUAAGAAGGAGACGGUGAAUUAUAAAACCCUAACCCCUGAUUUGGUAAGAUUUACCAAAAAAACAGAUGUUUUGUUGUUUGUUAGCUACCAAAUUAGUAGCUGGAGAAAAUAGGACAAUUAGAGAAGACUGAGAUAAUUUUGUUUUUUGAGAAAACUCAAUAAAAGCAUUUUUUUUCUUCCUCAUUCCCCUUUUUAACUUUUAAUGAAAUUGAUAUAACAAAAGGAUAAAAAUAAAUUAAUAAUAAUGAAAAUUUCUAAUUUAUGUAUUUUGUUUUAACCUUGACUAUUAUAUUAUUAUUAUUUAAUUAUAAUAUAUAUAUAUAUAUAUAUUAAUAUUAUUUUAUUAAUUACUUUUAACUCUAAAAUUUACUUAUCAUUUUUUUUUCAAUUUGUAUUAACUAUUUUUAACUCUUAUAUAUAUAUAUAUAUGAGAGAUCUGUUUACACUUAAUUUGAUUCAUUCAUUUCUAAAUCUAACAUAUCAAAUUGGUGAGUACAAUAACUGAUGAGAGAGAAAAAGAUAAAUUAUAAAUAACUUUUAAGUUUCACCAAUUUGUCCCAUUAGAUUUAAAAAAAAUGAAUAGUUGAGAUUGUAUAUAUAUAUAUAUAUAUAACUUUAACUUUUGAUGACAUAUUCUUCCAAAUAUCAAUAUUGGCUAAUCUGUCUUUACAUUGCUUACAUUGAGAGUUUAAUUGUAGUGAUUUACUUAUUGAACUAUUAGUAAUUUCAAAAUGAGAAAAAAAAUUAUAUAUUGAUAGUGCAAGAGUUUUUUACAUUGUCAUUACAUCAUUCAUCAUCCAUUUUUAAUAAUCAUUGACUCUUAAAUAAAAAUAAUGCAAAUAAAUGGUGAAUAAUACGCUAACUGUACAAAAAAAUUUAUACUGUCAACUAUAGAUAUUAUACUCUUUAAAAACAUAUUUAUACAAUGACUGAUUUACCCACUCAUAAAGUUUAAGGAUAAGAAGAAAAAAAUAGUUAAUGAUGAUUAUGUAUAAAAAUAUAUAAAAUUUAGAAAUUGUUUAUAUAUUUUUCCCUUUCUAAAUGGAAGGCAAUGCAAUAAUAGGCUACCCACACAAUUUAUUGAUCUUGUUAUUCCCUACUUUAUGGUGUUUUUUCUUUAAAUCAUACGGUUUCUUAUAUUUAUACUAAAUUUUAUUUUCCAAUUGUAGAUUUGUAGCCUUAUAUGGUACUCAUCUUUUUCAUUCAUAAUUCUCCAUUUUAUUUUAAUUCAGUUUCUGAUAUGUAUUAAAUAAAACUAUUUUAGUUAAACUAUAUAUUCAACUUUUAUAUCAUUUAUUAAUUUCUUAAAUUGUAUAUAUAACAUUAAACAUGAAAAACUUUGGAACUAAUGGAGUAUUUAUCUAAAAAAUUAAGUCAUAAGCCAUUAGAAAAAAAAAAGUUAACUUGAUAAGUUGAUUCAUUUAAACAAAUAUAUUAGAGUAAAUUAUACUAACACCCUCUGAGUCUUAGUAAAAUUAUACAAACUACCAAUGGAUGUAUAUGUUAUAGCAGGAAGACUCCAAAUCCUUCCUUCGGGAAUCAAGUACAAAAGAGAAUUUAAGUCAUAUUAUGAUAUUACCAAGCUCUGCUCUCUCUUAAAGGACAAACUCCUAUCUUUAUGCGCAGACAACCUUGAACAGUUCAACCAUCCAAAACCCCAAUAGAAAAAUCCAAACUUCUUUGUCGAGCUUCCAUUUAAGUUAAAGGAAGAUGUCAAACCUACAAAUGCAAUAGAUCCAAGAAUGAGUCCUCCUUGAGGUUAUGCAAGAGUGUGCCCAAUUGUUAAAAUAAGGCCUUAUCGAGUCCAUAAAGUCUGAGUGGGGAUACCAAGCCUUCUAUGUUGAAAAGAGAUCUGAAAAAAUAAGAGGUAAGAAGAGGCUAAAAAUUGACUACCGACCUCUCAACCACUUCCUCAAGGAUGACAAGUUUCAUAUCCCUAAAGCAUUUUCUCAACAUGUGUUGAUUAGAGACACCAAGAUAUAUUCAAAGUUUGAUCUUAAAUCUAGGUUUUGGCUACUUGGAUUAGACCCUGCUGAUCGCAACAAAUCUACAUUCUACAUCCUAAAUGCACAAUAUCAAUGGACAAUCCUACUCUUUAGGUUGAAGGUUGCCACAUCUCUCUUCCAAAAGGCAAUGACUAGGACUUUUGAGUCUAUCCUAAAUAACAUCUUAAUCUAUAUUUAUGACAUUCUUCUGUUCUCAAAGGGUAAGUCCUUCUACAAAAAUGUAUCAGAUCAAUUUUUCAGCCUUGCCUAACAACGUGGAAUAAUAUUGUCAGAAAAGAAGAUUCAAUUAUAACAAACUGAAAUUGACUUCUUGGGAAUGUAUUUUUUCAACGGUAUUUACCAGCCCAACCGAAUAAUGAAGAAAAACUGCUGAAUUUCCCUAAUGAAAAUCUCUCGACUGAAUAAGUUCAAUAGUUUCUUGGGAUUCUCAAUUAUGUGUGGGAUUUAUCUCCGAUACGGUAAAAUGGAGAAGGAACUAAAGAAGAUUGCUCAAAAUCCUCCGGCACCUAAAAUCCCAACCACUAUCAAAUGAAUCUUGCAAAUUAAUGUAAAUGAUCAUUCCUGGGGGAGGGGGCAGUCUUUAUUGAAGAAGUUUAAGAGAAGGUAAUAUUGUGGACAUUCGAGUGGCUAAUUGAAGAAUGUAGAAAAACAUUAUCAUACUGCCUAUAAAGAGGCUGUUACUGUCAAGUAUAGAAUCCAGAAAUUUGAUUUUUAUCUAAGAGGUCAUACAUUUGAAGUACAAAUGGACAACUUCUCUUUCCCCAAGAUUCUAGAAUUCAAAAAUAAUAUGCCACCUGGUCUUUAGAUACUCAGGUUAAAAAUUUGGUUUUCUAGAUAUGAUUUUAAUGUUAAACACAUUAAAGGAAACCAAAAUUUAGUCACAGAUUUCCUCUCUAGACUAAACAAACUCAUCAGUCUCAUCACCACUAUUAAUAUUUUCCGCUAAUCCUAAUAAUCAAUUCAUUACCAAAUUAUGCCUCCACUACCAAUGACCUCCCUCUAUGAGUAGAUUUCUCCUUUUCACCUAGAAAACUUAAAGAGUAUGCAAAGAAUUGUGUUCAUUAUUUUUUGCAUAAAGCUCUUAUAGGUUGCAAUGAUAGUUUUUGAGAAAAUUGUUUCCAUCCAGAGAUUCAUUUCCGUAAUCUCAUCUCAAUCAAUCCUCACUGUAGAUAUAUCCUUUCAUAGGAUCCAUUAUGGUACACAUGGUGUGUCACAUUUUUAUGUCAUGCUGAUAAGUGCCAAAAAUACCUAAUUUUCAUACACUUUUCAUGGCACUUAUCAUAUGCAAAAAUGUGAAAACCAACUUAACUCAACACUUUUUAGAUAAAUUUUGUGAGUUUAAAUAAUAUAAUUUUUUAUCAUCUCUUGUCCAAGUUUUCUAUGAGUUUCAUAGGAAAUUGGACCAAAAAAGAAUGCUUCGGCUUGAAGAAAGAAAGCUUACUUCAGCUUGAAGAAAUCAAGCCAAAAUACAUGACACGUGUAUGCUUAAAACUAAGCAUGGUAAGGUGUAUGCUUAAACUUAAGCAUGACUAAGCAACUUGGUCUUGGUUGGAAAAAAUUAAAGUCAAAGAUAAGCUGCUCACACAGUUGUCCAGCCAAGCACCAAGCCAAGUCAACCAGACUGCUCAAGCAGGCAGCUGAGCAUGCAUCAGGUCAGGCAGGCUGGUCAAGCAAGCAAUUGAGUGUGCACUGGGUCAGCCAAGCUGCUCAAGCAAGUAGUUGAGCAUGCACCAGGUUAGGCAGGCUGCUCAAGCAGGCAGCUGAGCAGGUCAUCCAAGCACCUGGUCCACCAAAAAAAUGAUUGCUUGGCCUAGAAGAAUGGGUAUCUCAUGAAUGAUGUUACAAGCCAAGCAACUAGUCAAAGCUAGCUUCUAAGCAAGUUUAUGACCUCAUGCAUGACACAAGCAAGUAGGAGGUGUCACCAUGCAUGUAGCUUAGCCUACAAUAGGCUAUCCAAGCUAGCUACCAUGGGUCAGACAUAGGGGUCAGGUAUCCCUCUCAUUGCCUAUAAAAGGUACGCCCAUUUCUUCACUUUUAGAACAUUGUACAUACCAUUUUUCUUCUCAUUUUCGGUUCUCUCUCAAUUUAGGUUGUUCUUAGGUGUUUUAGUUCAUAGAAAUUCAGAGGGAAUGAAGUUGAAAAAUGAGUUGCAAAAACAUGAUUUUGUGACCUCAUUUGGAAUCAAAAGCAUCUAAUCUUUGGAUGUAUGGCUAAUGCUCCAAAAAGUUGGAUUAUGGUGUAAUUUUCUUGUACUCUUCAUCUUCUUUAUUUAUGAUAGUUAUUUCUUUUGUUACUUUGAUUCUUUAAGAAGUUCUUAAUGCGGUUUUAGCUUGGUCACCUAAAGCUUGAUUUAAAGAUCCAAAAGAAUGUUUCUUCUUAAAGUAUUGACAAUUGAACUAAAAAUUAUAACCUACACCUUAGUUCAUCUGCCAUAUCAAAGCAUCUAUUUUAAGCAACUUAUGUUUAAGGCUAAAUAAUGUUAACUGAUCCUGAAGUAGGGUGUGACAACCUACUCCGACGAAUGGUGUAUGGAAUCAACCAAUGGUGUAUGGAAUACUAGGAAACUAGAUGAGGGAUUUAGACAUGGUGUAUGGAAUCAACCAAUGGCUAACACAUAACUAGUAUAAUUUUCAUAUUGAUGUUGUUCAAGAAAUUAUUCUAUCGUUCCAACUAUAUUCUCCUCUUGAAUUUGUAAAUAGUUAACUUUUUUACUUUUUCUUGUUUCUUAUUUGAUAAAAUCACCAAAACAACUUUAUGUGUUACUUUCUUACUUUUGAAAAAAGAUACAAAGAAUGAGUACAUUUCUAUUAGGCAAUUUAUUGUGGUUCGACAUAACCCUAUACUAUACUAUACUACAAUUGAAUCUUGAAAGAGAUGCAAGUGUAAAAUAGUAAAGUGUUAACUUAUAGAUACUAUUUGUUGAUUAAAGAUUCCUAAAAACAUAAGUUCAAACCAAUUCAUGGUUUGUAACUUUGUACAUAUGAAUAAUAUGCAAAAAGUGCAAUCCAAUCAAUGGAUUGUUACUUAAAUGAUAAAAAAGUGAUGAAUAAUAAAUGAUAUGAUUAACUUAAUAAAAGGAGACCGACCUUUAUGGUAUGGUUAAAGGAACCCGAUAAGGGACAACUCGAAUUAACCUUGCAGUCAUUAAAUAAAUAAAUUGGGCAUCAUUCAUCACUCAAAAUUAAGUAAAUAAACUUGCAACAACUCGAAUUAACCUUUCAACAAAGUGACACGUUUUGUUGUUGAGGGGGGAAUUCUUGUUGUGGAAAUCUGCUUCUCAACACACGCUCAUUACUUUGCAAACUCAAGCAACAUACAUGGUCAUUAUUGAUCCCCAAAAUUAUGUUCAUUUGCUUUAGACUCUAUUAGAAUGGUUUUCACCUUUAAGCUGGUGGCAAGCAAGAUUGAAUGAUGCUCUAGAAAAUGCUAGAGCAAGAAAAUAUCCUGCAAAACACUUCCAAAAACUCAGGACCAAUCGUCCAUAGGUCCUACUCACAACACCAUGUUACCAGUCUUCUGUGUUCUAGAAAUCAGGCUUAUGUUUGGGACAAUUUUUAUGCAUAUCCUUUGGUAGAAAAUUAUCGGAAGGAACUUGAGAAGCAUUUAAAUGAGGUAAACUUUUAUGAAUAUGUGUCAAAUAGUUAUAUGAGCACCUACAUUAGCCAUUGUGAUAAUCUUGCCAACUUCCAAAGGAGCAAAUGAAUAGUACAAGUAAAUAACUCGUUCUACCAAAGAAUGAGUGAAGCAAGUUCCUUCAGAAAAAAUGAAAUUAGAAUCAACCAAUCUGCAAUACAGACUCAAUAAUGGAACCAGUGGACCAAGAUGUUCAAGGCCAUAAUGGAUAUAUUGCUGGUAAAAAACUCCAUUAUGAAGAGGCAAGACCACAAUGAUGGUACACCAUGUAUGGAAGUAUAGACUCUGAAGAAUGGCAUUAUUAUAAUCUUUCUCUGGGUCAAAAUUCAAAAUAAGAAAGAAUCUUCCAGAAAUCAUCCAAAGUAAGAAUAAAAUAAGGUGUGAUGUGGUGUAAGAUAAAGUAUAACAUAACAUAAAGUGUGAUGAGUUGUAGAAUAAAAUAAAGCGUGAUCUCAAAUAAAUUAUUAUGUAAGAUAAGGUGUGAUGAGUUGUAAGGUAGAGAAUGAUGUAUUGUAAGAUAAGGUAUGAUAUUGUAAGAUAAAGUGUGGUGAGUUAUUCUCGUAGUAAGGAUAGAGGUCUACUUUCUUUUAUAAAUAUGGAAGCUUAAACCAUAUUAUACUCAGAACAACAAGAAGAAAUAAAACUUGUGUUUUAUCAUAUUCAUGUAUUCCUUAUAAGUUUUUCAUCUUUCUGAAAGCCAUAGCUAUAAUGUUUAUACCAUAACUCUUUACAUAGAUGUUAGUAUGCUCUACACUUACCUCCAUGAGAAUAUUAUGCACCAGAAAAAUGCCUGACUUUAGAUCCAUGCUACAAUCCUGCCUAUCAUAGUAGCAUACUAGAUAAGAUUAUCUGGACCUUGAGACAUAUAGAGGCCAACGGUUGGCUCACUCAAGUAUCGGUUGGUGAAAAUUAUCAGUGUGUUAUUACGAUAGGAGACUCCCAACAAGUAGAGGUGUGUCAAAAUGAGCUACUCGGAUGGGUUCGGACAAGCCCACAUCAGGUUCGGCUAAAUCGGGAUACGCUAAAAAGUCCAUAUACAAUUUAUGCAUAUCAAAUUGUAGUCCAAACCCGCCCUAAGCGGGUUGUGGGUUGUGGCAGAUCAGCCCGCAUAAACUAAAAAAUAUAUAUUUAAAUUUUAACAUGUUUAAUCUAUUUCAGAAAUAUAUAUCAUUUGAUAUUAAUGUAUAACUUUUUUAACACAUUUUUUAUGCCAAAUGCAAUUAAACUUAGAGAUCUAAUGCAUUGUGUUGAGUUAAGACGUAAUGUCAAUUCCACGUAUAUGAUUUUUAACAUAACUCAUAUGUUAAAUUUCUAAUUUCUAUUGGACUCUCACUCCUAACACAAUAUAAUUUGUAACUUCAAUUUAAUAUAUAAACAUUUGGACACUAUAAAAAAUAUUAUCUUUUGUAUGCUCUUUACCAAGACUUUCAUUGUGAACUAUUAUAUUAAAUUUCAUUGUGAUGAUUUCUCUAUGGUAAACAAUUAUGUUGUCUUUUAUUUUUAUUGUAAAUGUUAUUUUCUUUAUUAUAUUUUUGUUGUAGAAGUUAAAUCUAAUUAAAUACACAAUUAAGAAAGGAAAAUUAAAAUCUAUAUGGUUUAAUAUCUUGUCAUUUGAUUGAUAUAUUAUUUUGUUACUAGGCUUAAAAGGAUAUUCCAAAAAAUAGGAAAAAUAAUAUAAUGCUUAACUUUAUAACAUUAUUGUAAUUUAUAAAUAUAUAUGUUUAGACAUUAUUCUAUUUUUUAUUCAAAGUUCAUAACACAAUAUUUAUUAUCUAUUUUUUAUUAUAAAUUAUUGUGUAAAUUUUCAUCUAAUGCUUAUUACCAAUCCAAAAGUCCCAAAAAAGAUAAAAAAUAAUAAUAAGGAAAACAGGUGGUUCGGACCUGCCCGAGUAAGCUCGGCCCGAUCCCAGUUUUAAUAUAGUCGGGUCGGGCCGGACUAAAAAGCUCAGAUUCAAUAAAAAGUGUCUGAUAUGAUACUCAAGCCCUAUCUAUUUGGCUUGGAAUCAAUAUUCAUUUUUUGAGACGAAAUCACUUCUUCUUCUGGGAUUCAUAGAAUGCAUUAGUUUGUACCCUCGAUGAAGAAGAGUUAACCAUAAACAUAUCUAUGACAUUGGUCAUCUCCAUUUCAGAAUCAUAUAUAGGAAGAAACUAUCACUUCAUCACUUGACUUUUUAGUUUUUGAACAUUGGAUGAUAACCUUGGUUUUGUCUCCUGUUUAAAAGAUUUUUCCAUGGAGGCUAUCGCUUGGAAAGGUUAGACUUCUAUUGGUUGAAUAAAAGGUUCAUGGUUGGGCAGCGAGUAUGAGAAGGAACCACUUAUCUUGGAUGUUUUUUUCUCUCUGUACACACAUCCUUUGAGACUUUGGUCUAUAGGAAGUUGGAAAAGUGUAUGGUGGAUUAUUAUAUGAGGUUGAUGGAAAAAUGGAUGGAGCCUUAAUGGUAGGAGAGUAGUAUCUUGGAAAAACAUGAGUGUUGAGAAAUGGAUGAGCUUCAGGUUCUAUGCUUUAAGCUACCAUAUGGGUAUUGAUAUAGUCAUCCAUAUCUCUCACCUGAGAGUGAAGGUGUUUGAUUUCUCUUUCUUUCAGAUCAAAAUCUUCGCAAAAACAUGUUAUGGCCUCUAACAUUUCUCUUAUUCCACCCUCAAGUUGAGUGAUUUGUGAUUGAAGAGUCUUGUAAUACCUCUGCAUCUUGGAUGAUAAAUAUUGGAGCUUUUGGUUCGUCUGUUCAAUAAUGUUAGUUAUUCUGCUCAAUUUGCCAAUUUAGUACUUCUUUAGCUUGACGUAGAGGCUUAAGCUUUCCAUUAGCUUGGACUUCUAUUGGUUGAAUAAAAGGUUUUGUAGAGAGUUUCGAGACUGGGUUUUUUCUUUCUCUCAAGGGGAGGGAAACUCUCUAUCAUAUUGAGGAUAUGAAGAAGAAAACAUCAUACAUGGAAUGAGUUAAGGAACAACGAUCAAUGAUCGUGGCUUAGAUUUCCGAUAUGCAUCGCACAUGCAAACAAAGGCAGGUCUUUAGAGUGAUUUUAGAUGUUAUAGAUUAUUUGGUAGUGCAAGCUUACAGAUAAAGCCUAUGGAACUUGAUCCACUCCUAUGAGUUGGACUUGAAUGUUUACUCUAGUAGACAAAGUGAGAUCUUUCAUACUGGCAUUGAAGUUUAGGAAAAUAGUUAACACAACAAUUCCAACAUUUAGAGUGUAGGAUCAAACAAAAUCAUCUUCUAGACUUGGGAUUAUGUUUUCUUUAUCUUAAAAAAUCUUAGUAAACUUUAUUCGAUCAAAAACAAUAAAAAUGUAUAAUAAGUCAUAAACUUUAAUGAGAUUAUUCUGUGGCUCACACAGGGCGAUUAUAAUGAAAUUAGAAUUUCAUUUUUAAGACAUUACUAAGAUUAAUACCCCUGUAACUUAGUAGUAGAGACUCGACAAAAUGUGUAAUUAUAAGAUCAUAAGGUCAUAGGUUAGAGUUGCGUGAAACUCCCUCUAGGGGAUAUAAUAUUGUUAAUAGUAUUUAAGCUUAUAGGUUACAUGCUUAAUAAAAUUAUGUGUCUAGAUAAAUCAUAGGUUAAGGUUGAGGUGUUACCCUUAAACCAAUUUGGCCUUUUUUGAUCUUUCUGAUAGCCAAUGAAUUUAUUCUGCAUUUUUUCCUCUGACAAAUUUGGCAAGGUUAAUAAUGAGUCUUUUAACUUUCUUUUGAAGUUUUUCAACUUCUUCAAAUUGUUGUGUCUUGCUUAUGACCUUUAGCUUUACUUUUUCUUCAUGCUUUCUUGACAGAGCUAUGAAUAAUUCUUAGAGAAUUUGAAAUGCCUUGCAAAGGCUACCAGGUUCAUCCAAGAGAUCAUUUUUUUCUCUAAAUUGAAUGACAUUUAUUUACCUCAUUGAUAUGACAUUGGUAUUGUUGACAUAUAUGCCUCUCACCUCUAUAAGCCAUUGAAUUGCUGGCCAUAUUUGUUUCCUUACAUGUUUAAGUUUUGCAUGAGCACAUUGGGGAGUCUACAGUACUUUUUGGCCAAGAAAUAAUCAUGAUUUGAAGGAAGAAUUUGUCAUGGUGGUUGCAUCUCGUGCUUGUUGCAUGUAUUCACAAAAUAUUUGUUAAGCUUUCAUAUUUGUUACUUCCUUACUUCUUAAGUAUAUAUAAAGUGCCUUUAUAGAAUUCACCUGCAAGAGUAUUCUGAGAGAGGAUUUGUAAGAGAAAAUAAGGGAGGAUCAACAUUCUACUCCGCUGCCAUCCGAUUGGUUGGGUUCGUGUUCGGGUCGGGCUUGGGCUUAGGAUUAACAUUCAUUUUUAAAAUAAAUUUUAUUUAUUUAAUUUUAUUUUGGACUUUUGGACCGUGUAAUGACCAAGUCAACACACACGUGCCAUACGUGUGUGACUCAAUCGACAUGGUUGGCAAGUGAAGGGAGUGUGGCAAAAGACUCGAUCAUAAUAAAGGAGGAUCCGAGUGGUAAAAUUUUCUAUCGUCAGAUCAUGAGAUUUACCAACCACUGUAUCCGUUGAAUGAGGGAGACGUUGGAGGCCUCAAGCUAAAUGGAUCAUGGGAUUUCUCAAUGAUAUGCAUAUGGAUUGGUUCCAGGUUUUCUUUAAAAUUUUGUUUUUUGAGCACCAUAGUUUGAGUGAGGAACGUACAUUCCACAUGGGAUUGCAUGGUAGUGGUUUCAGUGACACAAGAGGGACCCGCUACUCCAUUGAAAAUUUCAGUAUUUAAUUCUUUAAUUUGAAUAUAAUUAUUAAUUGGAGUAUGUGUGCCAUUUUUCCUGCAACUAGCUUUCAUUUACAUCCUCAACAAUUGUCAUAAGUUUCUCUCCGACCAGGUUACAUUUGUACCUAGUAGGUGGUGUUUGUUUCUGAUCUGGCACAUUGUCUUUAAAGGACACGCCUUCAUUCACAAGAAUUGUGUUAUUUUUAGUCCCAUCAGGUGGGUUUUUUUUUGGUGCCUGUGUAAGUUCAUUCUUUUUAGCAUGAGAACAUCUUCUGUCCCAAAAGAAUAUAUCACUCUAUAUGUCACUGUUUAUAAUUGGUCAAAAAAUACUGAAGUAUUAAAAUUUUAAUUUAAAUACGUUUCUUCAAUCAAUCACAAUCAAUAGUACAUAUGGUGGCACACUAUAUGGAGCAACAAAUGUGCUCCCCUCGCCUUUUUGGCAGAGCAAAUGCACCAACCUUUUGACAGCUAAAAGGAGUUAUUUCUUUAACCACAGGUAAUGCAAAAACUAAAAUCCAAACAAGGAAAGGACAUGCCAUUCACACUGUUUUGAAGUUUCUUUAAUUUUUAUCCAAUAUCACCCAAAUGCAAACAUACCUUGGAAUUAACCAGAUCAUUCCAGUUGUAAAAAUAGUUCUUGACUUUACAUGGGCUUUCUAAUUAUAGGGUAACCAAAUAGAAGGUGGAAGAUGCACCAACAGUUUCAAUACAUAUUAAUAUUGGUUCCAUACUUCCAUGGCAAUUGUUGCAGCAACAUUUUCAGUACGUAAUAAUAUUUGUUCUAUGGCAACUGUUCACUACAUAGCAGCAGCAUUCUUCAGCGUGCCUCAUACUGGACAACUGCAUAAAAACAAUAAAAAGUAUAAAGCAUUGCAAAUAAAUAGCUAAAGGGUAGCAGAAAAUAAAUGAACACUUUAAGCAAGGAUUAAAAGUCACAGUUUAACAUGGUGCUUUACUAAUUUAUCACUUUUUAGUGACCCAGACAUAAAAAGAUGAAAAUUGAACACAUCAUCAUGCUAUAAUUAUUGAUAAAAUCUCAUAUUUCCUUCGCUAGUUUAUUGGUUUUAGUUGUUCUCCUAGGGUUUAUUUGUAAGUUGGGAUUUGAAGGGAAGGAAGGGAAAGGAAAGACUUCAGAACUAUCUCACAAUCUUGCGAUUGAGAAUUCAGUUUUGGAGGGGAAGGAAGGGAAGGAAAACACUUCAAAAUCAUCUCACAAGUAUAAUUCAUGACUUUCAAGCCUUUCUUUCCCUUCCAAAAUCUAACUCAGACAUUAUUGUCUUUCGAGACAUAUUUAAACAUACAACAUUAAACAUAUAAUAAAUAAUCUGCUAGAGAAAUUGAAUUUGCAUGUGGGACAAUUAAGUUGAGAAAGAAUUUUAAAAAAAUAAAUCACGGACAAUAUCUAGUUAUUCAUUUGACUGCAAAUUUGGUCUAGUCAUUUAGUCCAAAAUACAAAAGAUUAUCAACAUUUACCUAAUCGUAUGCUAUGACUGAUUAUACCACUGAUGUUUACCUGACUCUAUAUCAGACAUGACUAAAUGCUUCAACUGAAGAAAACUAAGAUGCCUUGAACAAAAUGAACCAAUCACUACCUCUAAUUACCAAAACAAUUGGUGAACUAUCAUCUCUUUUCAACAGUCAGGCACACCAAUAAGGUUGUUUUGCCUUCUAAUCUAAAGGUCAUGGGCUCAACUCCUGGAAUCAGCAUGACUACUUACAGGGGUAAGAUUGCAAAUGAAAACCCUCCCCAAAAACCACUAUGUUGGAGCAUCGGCUGUCGUGCAGUAGGUUGCCCUUCAUGUAUUUAUAUCUUGUGUGGAUCUUAAGCAAAGUUUAUAGAAUAGGUAAAAAAAAAUAGAAUACAAAACUAGCGAUAUGAGAAUGGAAAGCAUACAAUUAAGAGUUUUCUUGGAUUGGUUACCCAUUAAAUCCAGACCAAACUAGACCAUAUUAUGUAGUUUGUUUUUUCAAACCAGACUAAACCAGUUUGCAUAAUGAAACACAUCACCGGUUCAAAACCAAUUUGUUAUAAAAUAGGUUAUGAACCAAUUCAUGUCCAAAACCAGAUUUUUUUCAUGGAAUUGGUUUGGAAACUGGAUUUUAAACAAGUUUUUGAAUCCAAUUUUCACAAAAACCAGUUUUGAAACUGGAUUUUUACUAGUUUAGGAAUCCAAGUUUAAAAUCCGGUUUUCACAAAAAAACAGUUUUGAAAAUGGAUUUUUACUAGUUUAGGAAUCCAAGUUUAAAAUCCGGUUUUCACAAAAAAACAGUUUUGAAACUGGAUUUUUUUACUAGUAACAGAAUCCAAGUUUCACAGAUCCAACAGUGGAGAUUAUUUUAAACUGGAUUCAGGGUAUGGUAAAAUGUAUUUGGAGUGCACAAGGUCUCAUUUCAAUUCAAUGUGGGAUUUCAGUUACACAUAUUAGAAGUGAACUCCCCAUGUGAAGUUAUUACCUUGUCUCUCUCUAAGGUCUCUAUCCCCUGUUGUUCUUUUCCUCCAUCGUUUCUUUUUUCUUUGGAUUUCCAUAGCCUUCAUUUAUGGUUUCAUACCCCAAAACCACUGGUGAUGGUGUUGUUGUUAUCUAUGAAGCACGGAUACGAAUACGUGUGUCGGAUACGAAUACGUGUGUCGGAUACGAUACGUAUCCGAUAUGUUGACACAUUUUUUCUAAAAUAUAGGAUACGAUACGUUCAUGGAUACGCGUAUAAAAUAAUAAAAAAUAUAUAUAAAAUAUGAUAAAAUUAUAAGUAUAAAUCAAAAUAUCCAAAGUAAAAUAAGUUGUGGAUCGCAGAGUACCGGCUAUCAGAGGAUAAAUGCAGUGUGACGGUAUGUUGGUGUAAGUCUUUGUGGCCUUUAAAUAAGUUGGUGUUUAUUGAAAACGAAUCUAUCUUAUCCUAUUUUAUUGAAAACGAAUCUAUCUUAUCAUAUUUUAUUGAAAACGUAUCUAUAUAUCCUAUAUUUUAUUGAAAAUGAAUCUAUAUAUCCUAUAUUUUAUUGAAGACGUAUCUGAUACGUGUCUUGAUAUUUUUUUAUUUUUUUAUUUUUUGGAUACUCUGCAAAUACAUAUCCUUCGCGAAUUUGAGCGUAUCCGUGUCGGAUAUGUGUCCGACACGCGAGGGUGUUUGACGAAUCCGUGCUUCAGAGGUUGUUAUCACCAAUGAUGAUGAUGAUGUCGUAGGCACCGCAUAAUGUCUGUGCCCAAUGGUUCAACAUAAAAUGGUCUAAACCAACAAAUAUGAAAGACAAGGUGGACCUAUAAAACUAAUUUUAGCUCUAAGAUGCACUAUCGAUGCGACAGAGAAAUUUGACGCACUUGAGGCUCGUGACAAGUCCAAGAACAUAGUUUGGGAUAGAAGGUGUUGUUCAGCUAUAAAGGGCUUGGAACAGUGCCAUCCUGUGACUGAAUGUUUGGAAGGGCGAAUUGGGCCUUUUGAGAGUUGAUUUGAGCCAACGGGAUUUUAUAAAAUAGUUUCAAUAUCUGAAUUUGUUUAUAAAAUCUGGAUUUUGAAUAGUUUAGCUCAAUUUAAAGAUGGAUUAUUUACUCGAACUGGAUUAUUUGAACACCCCAACAUAUAAUUUUGAAAUCAAAACCUAGUAAGGCCUUACCAUUUCCACAAGAAUCACAGACUUAUCAGAGAAACAACCAAUGUAUGAAAAUGAUUUAUAAUAAAGGAAAAAUUUGUCAACAUGCUUGGGUUGACUCCUAGGUGAGACUCAUAGAAAACAACAAUUUCAAACAGUCAAUAACUAAGGAGUUGUCAGAUGGUGAUUUUUAUACGAACACUUGAAUACUAAAAUUAACAGAGGCGAUGAAAAGAAAAAAUUAUCAUGUUACUUAUUCUACAUUGAGACAACUAUUUUUGUUCAAAAGAGGCUUAUACACAAAUGCUAUGUUAGAGGUCAAUUAUUGUUUACCAUAAAGGAGCCUGAAUAUAGUACUCUAGUCCCAUCUUUUACACAUUCGUGAUUUUUCACUUUUAAUAAUCUUUAGAAAGUUUUCACAGACAAAGACUCUUUCGGUUCAAAUAGUAACUCAAAUCAAUUCUCUCAAGCUUUUACAAGUAAUCCAACUAUAAAGAUAUAAAACCUAGUCUUAUACUAUACCGAUACUAGUAAGUAGUAACUACAACACAAUCAGGGACUUGCUUUAAAUUCAUGCUCUUUUCUAAAGAUAUUACUAAAGUUCAACUAUAAUAAAAAGGGGGAACCCAACGAGAGCGAAAACUAGCCACACAAAUCUAAAUUAACAACUUAACAAAGAGUCUUACUUAUAAGAAACCAACUAAAUUACUUCACCCACUUCACCAGAUUUAAAACAUAGGUACACGAUGACUACAGCUGAUAUGUCAAAAUUGGGAGUUGCCGAAACUAUACCGCAAACCCAAAUGCCCGCAAUAGUCGGAUAUGCAAGGUUUUAUAAGUUGCUGAAACCUCUAUUUAAAACCUUGUAAUCGACAACUAAAAUUAAUAACUUUGGCCAUGCCCAGUAUUCAUACACUUAAUGCAGUGCUAAUAACAGACAUACAUUACCAAUAACACAAUGGUCGAGCAUUAACAUAGAACAAUGGUAUAGUUCUUGAAUGCGAAUGAAAAAACAAAAAAAGUAACAAAAACAAUUAGGUCAUUCAAUUAAGUCAAACUGUGAAGCUUACUUCGACGAGUGCGCUUCUUGUAAAGGAUUCGGUAACCACACUCACGGCACUGUAUAACAUCACCAGGUUUCAGAGUAUUCUCCAUUCCACAAUCUGUACAAAUACACGCAAAAUCAAACUUUUCUUUCAAAAACUAAAAACACUUACAUACAUGCGCGAAGAAACACACAUAAAAGAGGUAUGAAUUUGUGUAUUAGGUGAUGGGAUUGAAGAACAAACCUCCGCAGAUGUAACUGACUGGCUCAGGUUGAGGAUCCAUUGCAAAGUUUAGAGGUUUAGGGUUUUUCGCUGAUUUCUAAGAUUCAAAUUUGACGAGGUUUGGUAUUUAUAUAUAAUGGUUAGGGGCUUGACUUAUUCUUCCCAGGCCCAAUUGUCCUUUCAACUUUUAAUAAGGGAACUAUAGUAUGUUGUCACAUUUUUCAAGGUUCAUAUGUGUCAUGAUCACCACGUGUAAUUAAUUUAAAAAUAUAUUUAAAUUAAAAAUUUAAUUAUAAAGUAAUUUUUUAAACAAUCACAUCAUAGUUACACUUCCCAUUUUUAGUGACAAAUGACUAACCCAUUUACAUACUAUUUUUUUAAUUAUUUAUCACUUUUGCAAAACUCUCAUAUUCUUAUAUAUUUUUAGGAAGUAAAUAGGUUAUCCCAUAAUUUAUUUCACUUUAUAUAUUAUUAGUUGUAAUUGAUUAAAAAAUGUAUUUAAGUUAAAAGAUUAAUUAUUAAAUAUUUUUCAAACUAAAAUGAUACAUAGAAUGAUAUAAAUUAUAGGAUAGAAGAUAUGCUCCCAUAUUUUUAUGGCUUCCUUCCACUUUUCUACCUCACACUCCACUCAAACUAUUAACCCAUUAAUGUUUAUCUUCUUCAAAUGUGUGCAUGUUUUCCACUUCCUACUUCAUCUCAUAUAAGGAUUAUUACAUGACAAAAAAAUGUGAAGAAAAAAAUAUUCACAUGCAACUUUCAUUAUGGGUAAAAAGUUAAUAUUUUAAACAAACACGUACUCUCCCUUACAUGCACCUUUGGAAGGUUACCUGCGUGUUAAAAACCCAUAAAAACAAACACAUGAGGAAGGUUAUGUGUUGUUACUUGCCGGGGUUUGUUCUCAUCAUCACAAAGCUUUACUAUAUAUGUUGUGGAAAAAAUGAAAUUUAUAAACAAUACAAACCUUCAAUGAAGUACAACGUCCUAGAAGGGUGCUUUUGUGGUAGGUUAACACUAUAAGAAUUUCUUGGUAGGCUAACACUAGAAGAAUUUUAUAAAGUGGAGAUGUAGUCAAUGAAUGGUGUGAUGUUCGAAUAUGUUUUGUGUAAACUAGGAGAGUCUUUCAACGCACAUUUUUACUCCACUAGACUUCAUGGCCUUUUUUCUUUUUUAAGAACUUAUUCAAUUUCUUUAUUAAAAGAUUCCAUUUUUUAUAUUGUUUUAUUUUGAGUCUUCAUCCGAGUCAAUAUUUGCUACCAAAGAAAUGGUUUUGCAUUUCAUUUCAAAUUCUUCAUAUUGCUCUAAUGGGUUAAAUUCUAAUUCAUGUUAUUACAAUUUUUCAAAAAGUGUGGUCACAAAUAUUUUUGAUAGAUUUUUCUUUUCAGAAAUUGUUGUCACUUUUGAUUGUUAUUUUCUCGUUAGUGAUCUAAAAACUUUUAUAUUUAACUCACUAUUAGAGAACGUUUUACGAAGGGUGAUUAAAUGAUUUUUUAAGUGAGUGAACCUCUUUUACAAGUCUAGAAUUUUCUCUUCAAGUUUCAUUAUGAACAUUUCAUUCUCUUUGGAAAAGGUAUUUAGUUUAGACAUUUUUACUUCUUUAUUUCCAUCAUGAGUUGUUUCUAGAAUGUCCCACAUUUCUUAAGUUGAUUUGCAAUUUGAUAUUCUAAAGAACUCAUCUAUUACUAGGGCACAUGUGAAAAUAUUUUUUACGUUAAGGUCAUAUUGUACUCUCUUCUUAUCAUCAAAACAGAAAGUGACAUCGUUGAAUACUUGAAGUCAUUGAACACGAUAAUUUGAUAAGACAAAUUUAGUCAUUGGAUAUGUUUGAUAUAAAUGAAAUAACUUAAGUGAUAACAAUUCUUAUUGUGAGAAAUGAGUAUAAUUAAUAUGAAACAAAAUUAUUGUUUUAAAAACUAUGGGAAAUGUAGGAUAAUUUCCCAUGCCAUUGACUAGAUUAGAAGCUAACUAGCCUGAUUUACUCAUCACCUCACCAGGAGUUCAUGAGAAUGUUCAACUAAGAAUAAAGUAAACCAUUACCAACUCUGCUUCAUAAUUUUCAAAGCUGGUAUAAACGGUAUAAUUAUUUAGCUCCAUUACUCUCUACAUACAUGAACAACUAGGAUCAUCAUUCCAUGAAAACAAUUGUUACUAGUGUUAUUAAUACCAUAUCAAUCAUCAAAUCAUUUAGAGUAUUGAUAGUGGUAUUACAAUUCAACUAGUGGUUUACUAAUUAACAUUAAUUUUAAAUAUAAACCAGCCGGUAUAACCGGUACGAUUCAAUUGAAAACCGGUCAGUAUAACCAGUAUGAUUGCAUAACCAAUAUAAUUAUUGUAUCGUACUGAUACUGAGACCGAUUCACCGGUUGAACCAACCGGCCCGAACCGGUUUUUACAACACUAUUAUUAACAUUAUACCGAUCAUCAAACUAGUCAAAGUGUUGAUAUAGUGGUAUAAUGAUUCAACCAGUAAUUCAUUAAUUAAAUCGCAUAUCGGUAAAGUUAGAUAUACAUAUAUAAUACUAAAUAUUAACAUUGAAAAUAAAUUCUUUUGUUUAUAACAUUUAUUAAAACAAAAUAUGUCACUUAGUGAUAAGUCAUAUUUUAAGGUACAAUCAAAUGUAAUAAUUAUGUGUUUGAUCCUCUAUACCAACAUUUUGGUAAAAAUUAAGUUAUUUUCAUUAAAAAUUUAACUUUAAAUGAAAAUCGGUCAGUAUAACCGAUAUAGUUCAAUUGAAAACCGACUAAUAUGACUGAUUUUGUCCAGUAUAACUAGUUUUGAUCAGUAUGAUUAUACGACCGAUUAGUACGGUCUAGUUUUCACAAGUAGUUAAUCCUAAAAAAAGGGUGCAUUACUUCAGUGAAUGAUAAUAAGAGGGGGGAAAUUCACAAUAACCCCGCAUCAGUAAGUUCCCAGUCAGUGUUUCGAGACUCAUUGGUUAUUAUUUUUUUGCCUCAUUUGGGAACGCUGGGGAAAACCCCUUUUCCAACUCCAAUAAACUGAAAUCAAAUCACCUUAAAGGACUGAAAGAUGAUAAACUCUAGUACAGAAAGACACACAAAGAAAAGUUGCUAAUUUACUUAAAUCUGGUGUUUUGGAUAAGCUUCAUUCUUUUUGGCUGAGUACACAUCACCAUCUUUGGGCAGAUUGUUUGAAGGGCUAGCUGCAAAAUUAACAGAACAAAGAACAGUGAGUCAAAGCACACAACAUUUUAUUUAUUAGGAAGGCCAGACCUUCAUAGAAGUAGGACAGGUAGAAAAUAUUGAAGAAUAAGCCAAACUGCAAUAGAACUAAAAGAUUACAACAACCAAUCAGAAUCUAAGCCUUACUCCUAUUAGGUAGGGUCAAAUAGAUGAAUGGAAAGGUACUAUAAUACUUUUUCAUAAAUUAUAUCAAUUGACAAAGCAUUGAUCUAUAAAUUUUUCCUAAUUAUUUUGCCUAUUCUUGGCCUUCUUCUACCUCUAGAAAUUGGACUAACCUCUAUUUGAUCUACUCUUCUUAUUGGAGCUUCUAUCGAUCUCCUCAACAUAUGUUCAAAUCACCCAAUACGUGAUUCUACGAUAAUUUUUACAAUAGGAGUUGCAGCAAAUUUCUCCCUAAUGUAUUCAUUCCUACUUCUAUCUUGUUUAAUGUGUCUACUCUUCCGACACAACAUUCUCAUACUUGCUGCAUUGAGUAUAUUAUAUUUUGACAUUUUACCAUCCGACACUAAGUCUAAUAUAACAUUGCAGGUCUUAUAGUUGUGCAGUCAAAUUUUCCUAUAAGCAUGAGUAGCACCUUUCUAUCACAUAUGACACCUGAAAUGCUCUACCAUUUCAUCCGCCUUGCUCGAAUCAUAUGGUUUACAUCUCCCUCAAUUUUCCCAUCGUGUUGUAUGAUUGUCCGCCUCAUGCUAAACUUACACUCCAUUUUACAUCGACUUCUACAACAGUCAUGUGCUUGUAAAGCUUGUCUCCACAUUUCUAAUUUCCUAUUUAAUUUUUCUCUCGAGUCUUCAUGUAGGACAAUAUUGUCUGCAAAAUAAACAUGGAUUGUGACGUCGAUUCUUGGAUAUGCUCAGUAAGCACAUCUAAGACCAAGGUAAAUAGUUAGGGGCACAACGUUGACUAUUGGUGUAGUCCUAUAGGAAUAGGGAAAUCUUAUGAGAAUUCAUCUUGUGUUCUCACAUCGGUCUUGAUCCUAUCAAAUAUAUCAUUGAUUGCUGGAAUUUAGGCAAUCCAAAUUCCUCUCUUCUCUAGAGCAUUCCACAAUAUCUCUGCGCACUUUAUCACAAGCCUUCUCCAAAUAUCAGUGCUUGAACAUCUUAGUUUUCUUGCUUCAACAAUUAUUACAGUUCCAAAAUCCAGAGUUACUUUUUUCAGGUAGGAAAUUAGAAGUGCAGUUUAUAUGAAUUACUAGAUUUUAUCAUAUGAUCAGAUUACAAAUCAUGCAAUUGUGGGUACCCUAAUUGAAAUCACAGUUGGUAACAGCAAUGCUACUUAUUUGCACUUUUUUUUCCCCGAAGAGGACCACUUCAGACUGGGUGUGGGGUAAAACAUUUCAAUCAAGACGCCAACAAACUAACAUCAUAGAAAAUGCGUAUACUCCAGCAUGUCCAAUUUCCGUCCGUAACAAAAUAAAUAAACUCACAACUAAAGUAAAUGUAUCCCUCAACACUUAGCAGCAAUAUAUAGAAGGCCUUAAAGGGUGGAGGAGAUUGAAAAAUCUUAGAAAUUCUCCCCAUGGAUAAGGAGUAGCUCAAACCACCACUAUAUAUUGGGGGGGAAUUUAGAUUGCUUAUACAUGAGAAACUAAUAAUUACAUAUGUAUUAUUUACAAAGCAUUUCUAAUAAGUCAAUGUCCUCCCUCUUUUCUUUCUUCUCCGAAAUCAAGUUUCCAGCAAUGUGCUACAACAUAUAGGCUACUUCAAAAGAAUUUUACAAAAUUCAGCUGAGUGAGUGAAACAGACAAUCUUGGGUACAGUAAGAGAGAAAACUUCAGAUAAAAUGGAUAAAACAUACAUGGAGGUGGGGCUGGGUGUUUCUUCGCCACAUCUUUUUUAGCCUUAGAUGAACUGCCCUUGCCAGGCUUUGCUAAACCCUGUCCAAGUAAAAUUGUGCUAAUGUAAUAUGUCAUAUAAAAGUACUAGUAGGUAUACAGGACAUGAGUCAAUUUUGCACAAUAUAUAAUCUAGAAACUGCCAUCAAUGUCAAAUCUUAACUUUUUUUUUGGGGGUGUUCCAUAGUGAAAAUUGGAGAUCACACCAUACUACAAGCCACACGGUCAGGUAUCAUGGAUCUAUUAUAGACAGUGAUGGAGAAAUAAAGGGAGAUGUAAACCAUAAGAUUCAUGCAUAAUGGAUGAAAUAGAGAAGUGUUUUGGGGUGUUUAUUCCGACGAAAGGUGCCUCUGAAGCUUAAAGGAAAUUUUUUACCACAUAGCUAUAAGACCGGUGGUGCUUCAUGGUAAAGCAAAUCGGGCUUAAGCAGACAACAAGAGCAUAAGAUCAAGUAUUACAAAGAUGAAGAUUUUGCAUUUGAUGACUGGACAAAUGAGACAAGAUAUGUUUAGAAAUGUAACAAAUUUGGAGAGGAAAAAUCAAAAUUCUCAUUCAUCCAAGUUAUACAGAAAGGUUGUAUGAAGCUGCUAAUUACACUUGAGUCAAGACUCAAUAUCAACCGCAGUGGUCAACACUAACUAUCACCAAUUUUGUUACAAACUAACUAAUUAACUUAAGUUAGCUACUUGGUGAAAGAUCUCAAGUAAGAUCAGGAUUCAAGUGCUGAAUAGAGUCACCAAUAUGAGCUCAGUCUCUAGCUAAGAAAAACACCAGAUGCAGAUCUAGUGAUAACACUGGUUAGAAUUUUAGAAAGAAUUAGGUAGAAACAGUGAAUUGAAGAAUCAAUUCAUGGAUCAGGAAACCCUAGAUCCAGUAUAUUAUUGAUUGAGAAUGUAGGAUUACAAUAGAAGAGAAAAGAGAGAGAAGUAGAAAAGGAAGAGAGUUACAAGGUUUUCCCAACUGAUUUAAAAAAUCAGUAACCAACUCAAUAAUUGCCUAACUACUCUCUCUUCUCACUUUCUAUUUAUAACUCCUAUACCUAACUACUUUUUCAGAAGUUAGUUAUUCCCUACUAGGGCCAUAUUGGCGCCUUUUAUACACUUGUGCUAUAGGAGGUCUAGGUCUCCUUUUAAUUCUAUCAAUACUCUCCCCCAAAAGAGCCACUUUGUCCUCCAGGAGAAAUUGUGGAAAAGCCUCUUGUAGUUGAGUAGCUACUUCCCAUGAAUUGUCACAUGAAGGCAAUUUUUCCUAAUGCAUCAAAACCUCCAGAUUCCCUGCAUUGUUUUGCACUGCAAGAUAUCACUUAGGCAAACCUGCAAUUCAAAUUCUUCAGAUAGCAUAGGAGGGAGUGGCUCAGUCUGUUGCGCUGGAUUCAAAAACUUCUUUAGCAAUGAAACAUGGAACACAAGAUGAAUCCUAGCAUGCUCUAGUAGUACCAACCUGUAUGCCACUGACCCAAUUAUUUCCAACACCUUAUAGGGGCCAUAGAAUUUAGCUAAUAAUUUAGCCAGUGGUAUGUUGACUAAAGAUUUCAGCUUAUAGGGUUGUAAUUUUAAAAACACCCAAUCUACCACUGCAAAUUCUACUUUUCUUCUAUGUUUGUUUGCCUGAGUUCUCAUUAAAUCCCGAGCCUUCAAUAAAUUCUGCUAUAGUUCCAGUAGAGUUAAGUCUCUAGCCAUUAGCAACUGAUUCACCUCUUCCACCUUAGAAGUAAAAGUACAUCCCUUGAUCAGUGUGGAUGGAUCUCUCCCAUAUAAAGUUCUAAAGGGUGUCAUGCCUGCAGAGCUAUUAUAGGUGGUGUUGAACCAGAAUUCAGCCCAAGGAAUCCAGUCUACCCACUGUCUUGGUUUUGGCCCUACAUAACACUUUAGAUAGGUCUCCAAACUUCUGUUAACAACCUCUGUCUGCCCAUCUGUUUGAGAAUGGUAAGCAGCGUUAUAUUUCAACUUAGUUCCACAUAGCUUGAACAACUCUUGCCAAAACUAACUUAAGAAAAUUUAAUCCCUAUCAGAGAUGAUAGAGGCUGGAAAUCCAUGAAGUUUAACCACUUCUUUCACAAAUAUGGCAGCCACAUCUUUAGCAGUGAAAAGGGUGACUCAAUGGGUAAAAGUGGGCAUACUUAGUGAGUCUGUCCACUACCAGAUAUAUGGUGUCCUUACCCUUGGACUUAGGCAGCCCAUAAAUAAAGUCCAUAGAAAUAUCUUGCCCUACUUGGAUGGGGAUGGGUAAGGGUUGCAACAACCCCUCUAGGGCUAAAAUAGAAUACUUCUGUCUCUGACACACCUCACAAGUCUCAACAUAUUGCUUCAAGUAACUCCUCAUCCCUUCCUAAUAAAAGAAACUAGAAACCUUCUUAAAAGUUCUAAAAAAUCCUAAAUGACCCCUAGAUACACUAUCAUGACAUUCAACUAGAAUACCGGGAAGCUUAUUAGAAGACUUUGACAAAACCAACCUGCCUUUGUAGAGUAACCUCCCAACCUGAAAUUUGAAAUAUGGAUGGGCCUUGGAGUCAUAAGCUAAGUCUUGGAUCACCUUUUGCCAUUUAGGCUCAUACUGAAUCUCCUGGAAUCAUUCAUCAACAUCUGCCAAAUUAACUACAGAUAGAGCCCCAUACAUGACUGUCCUGGAGAAUGCAUUUGCUACUGAGUUCUCUCUGUCAGGCUUGAACUGAAUUUCAAAAUCCAACCCAAUUAACUUGACUACCCACUUAAAUUGUUCUUCACUAAACAAUCUUUGAUCUGUGAGGAACUUCAAACUGCUCUGAUCAGUCCUGAGUAUAAAGUGUCUUCCCAUCAAGUAAUGCUUCCACUUUUGGACUGCUUGUACCAUUGCCAUCAAUUCUCUCUCAUAAACUAACUUUAAUUGUGCCCUAUUUGAUAGUCCCUUACUCCAAUAAGCUAAGGGUCUGCCCUCUUGCAUCAAGACAACCCCUAAACCUUUGAUCUGUGAGGAACUUCAAACUGCUAUGAUCUGAGUAUAAAGUGUCUUCCCAUCAAGUAAUGCUUCUACUUUUGGACUGCUUGUACCAUUACCAUCAAUUCUCUCUCAUAAACCGACUUUAAUUGCGCCCUAUUUGAUAGUCCAUUACUCUAAUAAGCUAAGGGUCUGCCCUUUUGCAUCAAGACAACCCCUAAACCUUUGCUAGAGGCAUCAAUUUCAAUAACAAAGGUUUUUGAAAAAAUCAGGAGCGGCUAGCAAAGGAAGUUGCACCAUAGCAGAUUUGAGAAUUUCAAAGGCUGUUGUAGCUUCCUUGGUCCAUACAAAAUCAUCCUUCUUCAACAACUCAGUUAGAGGCUUGGUUAUUUUGCUAUACCCUUGCACAAACCUUCUAUAAUAACCAGUCAGCCCCAAAAAUCCUCUUAACCCCUUUAAAUCUUUAGGGAUAGGCCAAGAUCUCAUGGUUUCCACCUUGGAUUGAUCUGUUGAAACCCCUGAUCCAGAUAUAAUGUGACCUAGAUAUUCCAAACUGGGUCUAGCAAAGCUGAAUUUCUUAUGGUUGGCCUUCAAUGAAUUGGUCUUGAGGACCUCCAACACCCUUCUUAGGUGUUGCUGGUGUGCCACAUCAUCUCUAUUGUACACCCAAAUAUCAUAAAAAAAACUAGAGCAAACUAUGUUAGGAAAGGUCUCAAAACUUCAUUCAUCAGGGCCUGAAAUGUAGAAGGGGCAUUGGUCAAGCCAAAGGGCAUGACAACAAACUAAUAGUGACCCUCAUGUGUCCUAAAGGCAGUUUUCUCAACAUCCUCUUCCCUCAUCCUUAUUUGAUGAUACCCAGACUUCAAAUCCAGUUUAGUAAACACUAUUGCUCCUCCAAUUUCAUCCAACAACUCUUCUAUAAUAGGGAUAAGGAAUUUGUUGGGUACAGUGACCUUGUUGAGAGCACGAUAGUCCAUACAGAACCUCCAUCCUCCAUCCUUCUUUUUGACUAGGAUGAUGGGGCUAGAAUAAGGACUAAUAUUAUACCUAAUGACCCCAGCUUCUAACAUCUCCCCCACCAACCUCUCUAUCUCUGUUUUUUUGGUAAUGAGGAUACUUGUAAAGCCUCAAGUUUAGGAUUGAAGCUCCUUCUGUAAGAUGGAUGGCAUGGUCAUGUCUUCUAACUAGAGGAAGUCCCUUUGGGUCUAUAAACAAAUCCUCAAACUCUACUAAUAACCCUAGAAUUGUGCAGAAGGAGUAACCUGGAAAUUCCCUACAUCAUUUUGGGUUCCACAGUGUAUGAGCAGCCCCUCCCCUUCUUUUAAAACCUGCAUCAAUGUACCAUAAGGUAACUCUGUCCUUGUGAAGGCUGGAUUUCCAGUUAUCUUAACCAAUUUAGUUCCUUGCUUUAUAGUAAGUUCCAGUUUCCCAAAAUCAACCUUGAUCUCACCAAAUCCAUCUAGCCAAUCAAGACCAAGAACCAUAUCAACCCUCUUGAGAGCAAACAGAGAGAAAUCUUAUACCUCUACCAACUGUUGCAAUUGGAACUUAAGUUGUGCAAAUUUUCCUUUACACUUCACCUUAUGGCGAUCACCCACCUCUACCCAAUAAGAUGGUGUAUCUACCACCUCUAAUUGCAGCCUAUCUACCACAUCCUUAGCUAUGAGAUUGUGGGAGGCUCCACAAUCAAUCAAUAUCAUGACAUUCUUGCCUUGUAAGGAUCCCUCUACCUUCCAUGACUUGAUAGUGGUAAAUCCAGACAUAGAGCACAAGGACAAAUGUAAGGCCUUAAAGGACUACAAGGACUCUUCUUUUUCAUACAACUCCUCUUCAUCUUUAUCUUCUAAUAUAAUCAUCAUAAAUUGCUUGUUUUCACACCUGUGUUCCUUAUUAAAGGGUUCAUCACACCUAAAACACAAGUCUUUUUCCCUUCUGUCCAUUAUCUUUGCACUACUUAGAUGGUGUAUCUACCACCUCCUUAGCUAUGAGAUUGUGGGAGGCUCCACAAUCAAUCAAUAUCAUGACAUUCUUGCCUUGUAAGGAUCCCUCUACCUUCCAUGACUUGAUAGUGGUAAAUCCAGACAUAGAGCACAAGGACAAAUAUAAGGCCUUAAAGGACUACAGGGACUCUUCUUUUUCAUACAACUCCUCUUCAUCUUUAUCUUCUAAUAUAAUCAUCCUAAAUUGCUUGUUUUCACACCUGUGUUCCUUAUUAAAGGGUUCAUCACACCUAAAACACAAGUCUUUUUCCCUUCUGUCCAUUAUCUUUGCACUACUUAGAUGGUGUAUCUACCACCUCCUUAGCUAUGAGAUUGUGGGAGGCUCCACAAUCAAUCAAUAUCAUGACAUUCUUGCCUUGUAAGGAUCCCUCUACCUUCCAUGACUUGAUAGUGGUAAAUCCAGACAUAGAGCACAAGGACAAAUAUAAGGCCUUAAAGGACUACAGGGACUCUUCUUUUUCAUACAACUCCUCUUCAUCUUUAUCUUCUAAUAUAAUCAUCCUAAAUUGCUUGUUUUCACACCUGUGUUCCUUAUUAAAGGGUUCAUCACACCUAAAACACAAGUCUUUUUCCCUUCUGUCCAUUAUCUUUGCACUACUUAGAUGGUGUAUCUACCACCUCCUUAGCUAUGAGAUUGUGGGAGGCUCCACAAUCAAUCAAUAUCAUGACAUUCUUGCCUUGUAAGGAUCCCUCUACCUUCCAUGACUUGAUAGUGGUAAAUCCAGACAUAGAGCACAAGGACAAAUAUAAGGCCUUAAAGGACUACAGGGACUCUUCUUUUUCAUACAACUCCUCUUCAUCUUUAUCUUCUAAUAUAAUCAUCCUAAAUUGCUUGUUUUCACACCUGUGUUCCUUAUUAAAGGGUUCAUCACACCUAAAACACAAGUCUUUUUCCCUUCUGUCCAUUAUCUUUGCACUACUUAGAUGGUGUAUCUACCACCUCCUUAGCUAUGAGAUUGUGGGAGGCUCCACAAUCAAUCAAUAUCAUGACAUUCUUGCCUUGUAAGGAUCCCUCUACCUUCCAUGACUUGAUAGUGGUAAAUCCAGACAUAGAGCACAAGGACAAAUAUAAGGCCUUAAAGGACUACAGGGACUCUUCUUUUUCAUACAACUCCUCUUCAUCUUUAUCUUCUAAUAUAAUCAUCCUAAAUUGCUUGUUUUCACACCUGUGUUCCUUAUUAAAGGGUUCAUCACACCUAAAACACAAGUCUUUUUCCCUUCUGUCCAUUAUCUUUGCACUACUUAGAUGGUGUAUCUACCACCUCCUUAGCUAUGAGAUUGUGGGAGGCUCCACAAUCAAUCAAUAUCAUGACAUUCUUGCCUUGUAAGGAUCCCUCUACCUUCCAUGACUUGAUAGUGGUAAAUCCAGACAUAGAGCACAAGGACAAAUAUAAGGCCUUAAAGGACUACAGGGACUCUUCUUUUUCAUACAACUCCUCUUCAUCUUUAUCUUCUAAUAUAAUCAUCCUAAAUUGCUUGUUUUCACACCUGUGUUCCUUAUUAAAGGGUUCAUCACACCUAAAACACAAGUCUUUUUCCCUUCUGUCCAUUAUCUUUGCACUACUUAGAUGGUGUAUCUACCACCUCCUUAGCUAUGAGAUUGUGGGAGGCUCCACAAUCAAUCAAUAUCAUGACAUUCUUGCCUUGUAAGGAUCCCUCUACCUUCCAUGACUUGAUAGUGGUAAAUCCAGACAUAGAGCACAAGGACAAAUAUAAGGCCUUAAAGGACUACAGGGACUCUUCUUUUUCAUACAACUCCUCUUCAUCUUUAUCUUCUAAUAUAAUCAUCCUAAAUUGCUUGUUUUCACACCUGUGUUCCUUAUUAAAGGGUUCAUCACACCUAAAACACAAGUCUUUUUCCCUUCUGUCCAUUAUCUUUGCACUACUUAGAUGGUGUAUCUACCACCUCCUUAGCUAUGAGAUUGUGGGAGGCUCCACAAUCAAUCAAUAUCAUGACAUUCUUGCCUUGUAAGGAUCCCUCUACCUUCCAUGACUUGAUAGUGGUAAAUCCAGACAUAGAGCACAAGGACAAAUAUAAGGCCUUAAAGGACUACAGGGACUCUUCUUUUUCAUACAACUCCUCUUCAUCUUUAUCUUCUAAUAUAAUCAUCCUAAAUUGCUUGUUUUCACACCUGUGUUCCUUAUUAAAGGGUUCAUCACACCUAAAACACAAGUCUUUUUCCCUUCUGUCCAUUAUCUUUGCACUACUUAGAUGGUGUAUCUACCACCUCCUUAGCUAUGAGAUUGUGGGAGGCUCCACAAUCAAUCAAUAUCAUGACAUUCUUGCCUUGUAAGGAUCCCUCUACCUUCCAUGACUUGAUAGUGGUAAAUCCAGACAUAGAGCACAAGGACAAAUAUAAGGCCUUAAAGGACUACAGGGACUCUUCUUUUUCAUACAACUCCUCUUCAUCUUUAUCUUCUAAUAUAAUCAUCCUAAAUUGCUUGUUUUCACACCUGUGUUCCUUAUUAAAGGGUUCAUCACACCUAAAACACAAGUCUUUUUCCCUUCUGUCCAUUAUCUUUGCACUACUUAGAUGGUGUAUCUACCACCUCCUUAGCUAUGAGAUUGUGGGAGGCUCCACAAUCAAUCAAUAUCAUGACAUUCUUGCCUUGUAAGGAUCCCUCUACCUUCCAUGACUUGAUAGUGGUAAAUCCAGACAUAGAGCACAAGGACAAAUAUAAGGCCUUAAAGGACUACAGGGACUCUUCUUUUUCAUACAACUCCUCUUCAUCUUUAUCUUCUAAUAUAAUCAUCAUAAAUUGCUUGUUUUCACACCUGUGUUCCUUAUUAAAGGGUUCAUCACACCUAAAACACAAGUCUUUUUCCCUUCUGUCCAUUAUCUUUGCACUACUUAGAUGGUGUAUCUACCACCUCCUUAGCUAUUAGAUUGUGGGAGGCUUCACAAUCAAUCAAUAUCAUGACAUUCUUGCCUUGUAAGGAUCCCUCUACCUUCCAUGACUUGAUAGUGGUAAAUCCAGACAUAGAGCACAAGGACAAAUAUAAGGCCUUAAAGGACUACAGGGACUCUUCUUUUUCAUACAACUCCUCUUCAUCUUUAUCUUCUAAUAUAAUCAUCAUAAAUUGCUUGUUUUCACACCUGUGUUCCUUAUUAAAGGGUUCAUCACACCUAAAACACAAGUCUUUUUCCCUUCUGUCCAUUAUCUUUGCACUACUUAGAUGGUGUAUCUACCACCUCCUUAGCUAUGAGAUUGUGGGAGGCUCCACAAUCAAUCAAUAUCAUGACAUUCUUGCCUUGUAAGGAUCCCUCUACCUUCCAUGACUUGAUAGUGGUAAAUCCAGACAUAGAGCACAAGGACAAAUGUAAGGCCUUAAAGGACUACAGGGACUCUUCUUUUUCAUACAACUCCUCUUCAUCUUUAUCUUCUAAUAUAAUCAUCCUAAAUUGCUUGUUUUCACACCUGUGUUCCUUAUUAAAGGGUUCAUCACACCUAAAACACAAGUCUUUUUCCCUUCUGUCCAUUAUCUUUGCACUACUUAGAUGUUUAAACUCCCCUUCUCUAGAUCUUGUAUUCUCUUCAGGAAAACUUUGGCCAGUGGUCCUUAUUGCACUAUUACUACCUAAACUCUCACUUUUUCUAUAUGUGUUAGGUUUUGCCUCAACUGUAACAGUUUUGGAAUAGGGUCCAGAUCUGGAAAUGCCCUGAUUUCUAGGAGUAUAGCCAUAACUACUCCUCUUGUGGAGCAAAACAUUCUUUUGCUCAAUUAAUAACACUUUUUAUAUAAUUUCUACUAAGGUUGAGAGUUCAUAAAGUUUUACCUCUGCUUGGAGUUCCUCUUUGAGGCCAUUCAAGAAUAUCCCUCUAACAAACACUUGAUCUAUUGUUCUCAAAGCAUCCACAUACUUCUCAAAAUUCUCCAUAUAUUCCUCCAUUGUUCCUGUCUGCUUGAGGGAUAUGAGUUGUCCAAAAGAAUUUUGGACCAUUGAAGGCUGAAAUCUCCUCAACCACUACAAUCUUGAACCCUUCCCAAUUCAGGCUGGGGUUGCACUUUUCCCACCAAUGAUACCAAAUUAAAGCCUUUCCCUCCAAGGCCAUUACAGUGGCUUGCAUUUUUUCUUCCUCUGUCACAUCCUUCAAUGCAAAAUACCUCUCCAAACGACGAGUCCAUCGAAAAGUAUCUUCUCCAGCAAAUAUAGGGAUUUCUAACUUGCGCCAUUUAUCCAUGCGAUUUCCUCCUUCACUUCUUUUUUCAUUACUACCCAUGCCUUCACGAAAAUGGCUAUGAUGAGCACGAUUCUAUCCCAAUUUCACCACUAAUUCAGCAAUCUGAUCCUUAUGUUUCUUAGCCAAUGCUUCUGCAAACUCCAACCUGGUUCGCAAUUCUUCACGUUCUAAUUCCCAAUCUUCUCCAGAACGUGCCAUACUUCAUGUCUUGAUACGCAACAACAAUUAUAGUGUGAUUUUCAGGGCACCAGGAUUGGUGCUUUGAUACUAGUGAUAACACUGGUCAGAAUUUUGGAAAGAAUUAGGUAGAAACAGUGAAUUGAAGAAUCAAUUCAAGGAUCAGGAAACCCUAGAUCCAGUAUAUUAUUGAUUGAGAAUGAAGGAUUACAAUAGAAGAGAAAAGAGAGAGAAGAGAAGUAGAAAAGGAAGAGUGUUACAAGGUUUUCCCCAACUGAUUUAAAAAAUCAGUAACCAACUCAAUAAUUGCCUAACUACUCUCUCUUCUCACUUUCUAUUUAUAACUCCUAUAACUAACUACCUUUUCAAAAGUUAGUUAUUCCCUACUAGGGCCAUAUUGGCGCCUUUUAUACACUUGUGUUAUAGGAGGUCUAGGCCCCCUUUUAAUUCUAUCAUCUAGCCACUUCCAAACCCAAGAAAUGCCUCUGGACCUAAAUAUGGAAUGGAAAAUGGGCAUGUGGAGGAUCAAAUAAGGAGUAAAAAUCAAGGGAGAUACCAAUUGAACUACACCCCACUAGUAAAAAUAACUUUUUUAAUGCUGAUAGAUAUGGUGUAAAGAAAACAACUGAACUGCUUCGGUUAUAGGCAUGGGAAAUACACCAUGUUCAUGGUGUCAACUGAACUUGAAAGUCACACUCCUCCCUGUCCCCUUUCCAAACAUAAAAAUUUUAUAGAAAAACUUAGACAAAGGAUUUCAUACCUUCCUCUUCUGAGCCUUCUCCCUUCUUUUUAAUAUCUUUGAAUGACAUUUUUUGAUGUAGUGUAUCAAAUGAUGUCGAGAAUGCUUUGAGCUUAAUUGUUCUUGGACCUUAGGAUUCUCUGUUAACCAGUCAACUAUCUCAUUGGACUUAACAACCUUAUCCUUAUCCAAAGCUUCAAGCCAUGAAUAAACUGGUAUCCAUUGAUCAGUGCGUUGAAACCUAGCAUUUGAAAGAUCAAGCUGUUUUGCUCCCCUUUCCUGCACGUUCGACAGAUUUAAAUACUGUAAAGGUUAAAUAACUUCCACUGGUUCAAAUAUUUAGUUUACAAUUGUCCCAUUUUAUGUAAAGGGAAUCUUGGCAAGAAGCACAAUCAUAGACGUAUGUCGCCCAGAAAACAGGAAAGCCUGCUUUCUUUUAUAAAUAUAAUAACAGAGAAUGCAUUAGAUAAGCACCCUAUACCUAGAAAACAUUAUCGUUGUUUACAAGAUAAGACAGUCUUACAAAAACAACAAAACAUUUUCCCACUAUGUGAGUCGGCUAUAUGGAUCAAUUGGUGCCAUAAUGUCCCAUCAUAAAUAAUCUCCAUAAACAAACCAUUCGAAUCUCAAUCUCUCUCUCUCUCUCUCUCAUAAACCAAUCUUACAAUAAGGUACAAAACACCUUUCUUUCUAUUUGUUUUAAAAACAGAAAACACCUGCAUCUUGAAAUGAUUUGACGAUAAAGAGGGAAUGAAUUUUUAUACAAGAUUUAAAAUGACUUGGUAUAAAAUAAAUGGUUUUGGAUAUUUAAUUAAAGAACUUUAAAGUUUUCAGGGAAUUUCUGGCCAGUAACUUUAUAUGAAAAAUAAUAAUUUGAAAUCCCACCAAAAAGGUGGAAUAUGUGAAAUCCCUUCAUUAGACAUCAACCCUCUCAUCUCAUCUAUAUUUCGAUAAUGAUCUCUGUCAUGAAGAUAUUGGUGAAUUCCAUGCUGCACCCAUUGCCUCCAUCAGUGGCCACCUUUACAGUAUAGUAGCAGUUGCUGCAGCUUAGUAAGUGCGCAAAGAGCAAAGAUUGACUCAUAAACAUGAACCUUCUCCUCCAGGUGGAUCUCUGUGGCAACACCAUAGCCAUUGUUGAACCUUUUUCACAAUGUCCAUGGAGACCUUGAGAUAAUCAAUGGAGGGGUCACACUGCUUGUAGCAGCAUUGAGGAGGAACUUGUUAAAGAUCUUUUACAGGUAAGGGAGGCAAGUGAUCGGUGGUAGAACUAGAACAUCUCAGUUAUCUAAUAGAACCUGAGCAUCUUGGAGUGCUUCUCAAUAGUUGAGAAUGUGCUCCAACUCGUCGUCUUGCUGAUACAUUUCAAUGGUAUUCACGGCUAAUGCCGUCACAGAGGUUCAAUGUUGAGUGCUGCUCGUCUGCAAUUGGCAUUUCUUUUGGGUUUCCGUAUUUUUAUUGAAAUUCCAAUUUUGCCAAAUAAUUAUCCAAACUAAGAAAAUUUACGAAUAUGGAAAAUUGCAUUAAUUUAUUUCCUUUUCAUUUUAUAAUCUCUAAAAUUUUGGAAUGACCCAUCCAAAAACAUCAUGGGUCUUUUUCCACUCGUAGACCUCAAUUUGUCCAUUUCUUCCCAAUGCAAUAUUUUCACCCACAUCACUCAAUGUUGAGUUCCUAACAUCGUAAACAAGGACACAGACAUUUUUGUAGCAGUACACAAACUAGUGGUUGGGGAAACUCUUAUACCACAGGCCUGAGCAAUCUAGAGACAACCAAAUUCCUUCAUUACUUUUUUCUUCAUCUAUUAUUGCGGGAACAAAAAUCAGUGUUCCUUAACAAAUCUUAGGGCAGCAUACAUUAUCCUUCCUCUCCUAAUCAAAAUGCACAGUGCCCAGCAAAACUGAAACCUUAAACUCAAGUUUUCUUUCUCAAUUCUAUGUUUUAAAAUUCUCAACUUUAUUCUUCAAACCCUAGGAGUCUAUAACCGCAACAUGCGAUAUAGGGAUUGGCUAGUCGUUACCAAAAAAGUUUUCAAUUAAAGCCAAUCUCUAUUUUAACUUGACAUUAAUUCACAGCAAACAACAUGGAAAGCAUGUCUAAAUAAGUACCAUCAUUAUAAACUUGCAGAAUCAUCCACAAAGAUUGUCAUUUUCAGUGAGUUGGUGGCGUACCUCAUUAAUGGGGAAUCUAAUGCGAUUCUGAACGGAAAUGAGGCCGACACAUAUAUCAGAGCGAGGGGCUGAACGGAGACCCUCAGGAAGAGAAGCGAGGUUGGAGUUGACCCAGGCUUCGAUCUCAGGCAUCGUCACUUCCUUUGCCUCUGGGAAGGAGCCGAUCCAUGCUCGAGCCAUGGUUUCCCAUUCAUGUUGGGACGGACCGUUUUGCUCAUGCUCUUGCAGCUUCUUUUCACCCCCUGAGUUGAACAUUUUGCUGUGUCGUUUGUGUUCAGCAAGGAAUGGGAAGGGGAAUGGGAGUGUGAUGCAUAAUAAAAAGCGCACACAGCUUUUCCGGCCAAGCAUUUAAGAAAAAGGAUAAAACGACAAUCCUUGUGUUUGCGUCUCAAUACAACGUACAUUUCUCUUUUUCUUUUUUUUAUAGAAUCCUACACUACACUCUUGUAUCUCAUUACACUAGCAUCACACCACUCGUAUCCUUGAAUUCAGUUUUGUUUGUGCCCAGCUGUUCUUCUAAUUUAUUUUAAUCUCUAUCGGUUAACUUACUCGCUCAUUAAAUUACGCUAUCAUCUUUAACUCCACUUCCUUCCUAAAACAUGACCAAAGUACAUUUCAGACAAUUGGAGCCGAAUCUGAAUCACAUGGUCUCUAUUAUGUCCAAAUUUCUUCAUCCAUUAUAUGUGCUAUCACUAAGUCUUCUAAUCUUGUUCAUCAUCUGGGCCAUCUAGAGAGAAGUUGAAGCAGGUGAUCCCUCAUCUCUCAUAGUUGAAGUCUUUGGAGCAAUAUUUCAAAUUGCAGUUGCAAUAGCGAUUCCAGUCACAGUUUUGAUUAUUGUGAUGGUGGUCACUGUGAUGAGGAUUACGGUUGUUGCGGCGUGAAAUUUUGUCUUUAAAAAAAUGCUUUUGAAUUUGAUGUAGUCUAAUACGAUUGUAUUGCAUCCCUUGCAGACGCGUCAGGUGAUGCCGGUCCACAAUUUGAUACAUGGCUUUUGAGUGUGAGUCGUUUUAACUUGGGAAGCAUGUUAGGGUGUCCUUUCCAAGUAGAGUAACAGUUGAGAUAUGUCUUUCUUUGAUAUUAUUCAUUCAGAUGUUUGGGAUCCUAGUCAUGUUCUUCUACUCGACAUCACACAUAUUAUAAAUGGCUCUUGAUUGAGAUUGUCAACUAAUGUGGGACUUUGACAAUGAACACACCAUAAUCACGCCCCAGAAGGAACUUCUAGAGCACACAUGGCCAGCAACGGCAUAGGCCCUAUCACUUGGGGACUGGCUUAUAGUUACCAUAGAAGUAUUCAAACUAUUUCAAUUAAGAGAAAAAGUUGUAUGCAUAGACUGUCUUACGGUGCAUAGAUAUUACACUAUUCACUUACAAGGCAAUAUUGGUUUAAAAUUUAAUCACCUUCAAUACCAGCAUAAGCAAGUGAAAAAAAUAUGAAAAUGAGAGAAUCAUCAACAAGCAUUUUAGGUACCUAAGGAAUGGGGAACCUCAUGCAAUUAAGAUAAGGCGGAGGAAGAGAUCAGGGCGAAGCAUUGAACGGCGAGACGCGCGGAGAGAAGCGAGGAUGGAGUCACUUCAUUCACUUCUGGGAAUGAGUACAGCGAUGGUGAAGCCAUGCUCUCCCAUUCUUGUUGCAAUCAAGGUUUUAAAUAGCUGCCAUGAUUGUAGAGACUUUCAAAAUCUUGAUGACUUUCAAAAUCUUGAUGUUAAGGUAAACUUCGGAUACCACAAAACCUUAAUGUACUUAAUGGUCACGGACUCGGAUGUAAAACCAUUAUUGCGCUACUGCUUGUUUUGCUCUUGCGUCGCGUUCAUUCAGAUUGAGGUGUUACACUCUGUGGUUUGUAUGAGUGACUCAAGGGGCGGGUAUGGGAGUAAAGCAGUGGAACGCAGAAGAGAACACCACCCACCGCAUUUCAGGCUGAGCGUUUAAACCAAAAAGAUCAAACAACAAUGCUUGCUUUUGUUUCUAGAUGCUCACUUGACCUUGGAACAAAUACAAGAGUGGGUAUGAAAUGAAAAAAAACACAAAUUCACAUAUACUUGAAGAGUAGAGUGUUUAUAAGUAUUUAUUGUACUAUUGGUAUGUCAUAUGGGUAUAAGAGUUUAUUGGUGGGUGAAGACUAUCACAAACAAAACUAUUCCAAAAGCGUGUGCAGCACCACCACUUCUGCCACAAGGUGAUUGGAGAAUGUACAUUGAUAACCAUAUUAUAAGUGAUUUAAGAUUGGUUCUUACCACACAAUGAGAAUACAAAAAAGAGAAUUGGGUGUCUUAUUUUCUAGACGACGUGGUUAAUAGUAUGCUUGUAUAUUUUUUUUGUAGUGGCACAAAAUGUCUUAAAGAAAGUAACAUAAUCAUGACUCAGCCAUUAAGUAAAUCUCUAGUGUCACAAUUAGUUGUUACAAGCCAUUGAGGAAGAGGCUCACAGGCCGAAUAAAAAAGAUUAAGUUUUGAUUAUCUCGAACAACAACACUAAAAAGAAAUUCUCAAGUGUGGUUAUGAACCCAUUUGACAAUAACUCUAAAAAUUAGAACACCAGUUGCAACCAGAACUAGAACCCAAAAGGUCUAAUAGGCUAAACUACUAGCGCAUCAUGCGCAUAUUUGCUAUAGUCGUAUUAUGUUCAAAACAUACAGGAAAUUGAUGACAAGAAAGUAUUGUUGGAUGAUUCUCAUAUCAUUAUUGUUGCUCGUAUAGUUUUACCUAGAUCAUAUGGAUAGACUUGUAUUCUCUUACUAUGAAUGAAAUUUUUGUAGGGAAAGGGUAUGUCAAUGAUGACAUGUUCAAAUUGAAUCUUGACGUUAUUUUGAAUAAAAUUUCUUAUUGAAUUUACAUAUUGUGUAAUUUUGAUAUUUGGCAUAAUAGACUAUGUCAUAUUAACAAAUGUUUAAUUUCCAAAUUUAGUAGCUUUAAUUCUAAAGUUAUCUGCAAAUGAUCUUGAAAAAUGUGAAUUUUAUAAUCAAACUAGAUAACAAAAAGCCACAUAAAUUAAUAGUGUGAGAAUCUUAUCCUUUGAAUUUGAUGCAUUCUGAUAUAUGUGAACUAGAUGAGAUGUUAACAAGAAAUGGAAAACAUUAUUUUACCACAUUUAUUGAUGAUUACUUUCACUAUAUUUGUAUAUAUCUUACGAACAAUAAAAGUGAAGUGUUUGUCAUGUUUAAGUUAUAUAUGAUUGAAAUUGAAAAUCAACUCAAUAAGAAAAUAAAAAAACUCUAAAGUGAUGAGAGUUUGUUUGGAGAGUUUUGUGUUCUAUGUUGUAAAGACAUGAAGGAGUAUUUGUCUGCAACAAAGAGUUUAGAUAUUUUCAUUGUGAGAAGUAAGACAUCUUGUCACAUCAAGAGAGAAAGAAGAGUCAAGUAAGUUGUUUAUCUAAAAGUUAUGGGGUACCAAAACUUUAGAGGUCAAGCAAAACUAGAUUAAGAUUGAAUGUGAAAGUGUGCUAGUAAAGAACAUUUGAUUCCACAUAGUGUAAAAUAUUCAAAUCAUAAAGAUAGACUAGAUUAGUGUUGGUGGAUUGACCUGAACCAAAAUAAAAUAAGCAUGUUAUUUUCUUUAUCCCUUGGCUUUGUUUGGUUGACAAAAGAAAAUGAGAAGAGAGAAAUAUGCGAGAAAGAAAAAGGUAAGAAAGAGAAAGAGAAAGAGGAGAAAUGUAUUAGAUUUUUGUGAUGUUUGGUAUAAGAGAAGAAUGAGAGAAAAUGAAUAGAAAAAAAUAUUUUAUUCUCUUUCUCUUUUAUUUGGUUGGAUAGAAAAUAAAAAGAAAUAGAUGAUGUUGUGGUUCAAAUUACAAAAAUGUCCCUAGAAUAAAGAAAAGAGACAUGAAAAUGUUGUUUUAUUAUUAAUUAAAAAUUUGUUAUAAUUUUAAUUAACAUUUUUAAUUGAUAUGAUAUGUGAUAUAGUUUAGGAUACAAUUUGAGAUAAUAGAUCAUUAUCAAGUUAAAGUCUAUCUUUCUCUUCUCACUUUCUCCUGAUAAGUGGAGGGAAAGAAAUUUUGUGGGUUCACCCACUUUUUUCUUUUCUCCAUUCUUUCUCUCCUCUCCACCAAAGGAGAGAAACUCUCUAUUUUUCUUCUACUUCUCUCUUUUUUCUCUCUUCUCUAACUCUACCCAAUCAAAUUCAACCUUAGCUCUUUUAGUUUUGAUUUACUGCAUUUCAAUCACUCUACUAUCUUGUAAAUCGUUAUGUAAAACUAUUAUGUUUCAAAACUUCAUUCUUUACUAAGUUCUUGUUCUUAUUCAGUCCAAUUUAUUUUUUGUUUUGUGCUACUAAUCGAUCCACGAUCGAUUAUCCAUCAGUUAUCGAAAGAAUAAUUGAUUAUACACUCUGUAUAAUUUAUUAAACCGAAAAUGGUGCAUGUAUAAUAAAUAAGUAAUUAAUUAUCUGAAAGAAAAUUAUUGUGUGCGAAUUUUGAAUUGAAACAGUGAAGUAGCCUCACACAUUUUCAACCCCUCUAAGUGUGUACAACCUUUGUUUACAUACAAAGGAAAGUCAUUUUUGCAUAGAUCACUUUGAUUUCAUUUUUUUUCAGUUUUGAGAAAAGUCCUUGUGGUCUUGAUCCUACUUGGCCUCUCUACUCUUUUAGAACGAAUUUUUAAAUCUAAUCGAACCUUUUAAUAACAAGACACCCAAAAAAACGUUAAAUUAAAAAUCUUAAACAAAUAAUCAAUUUAUUUCCUAAACCUUUUUCCCGAAGGAAUGUUACCCAUGUGGUCUUGAGCCUGAUUGAUAUCCAUUCCCUUUUAAAAAACCUUAAAUAACUAACCAAAAAGUACUUGAACUAGCAAGUUACCCGUGCAUUUGCAUGGGACGAUAUUUUUUUCCGCAUGAUUAAGAACACAUAUUACAUGUGCAUUUAUGAUUAAGAAUAUGUAUGUUGCUCGUGCAUUCGCAUGGUUAAAACCAUAUAUGUUACCAGUGCAUUCAUAUUGUUAAAAUUAUUAAUUAUAUAUAAAAUCAUACGGUCAAACCAUACGGUUUAACUGUUUAAAUUGGAUAAACUUAAUAUGGGUCAUCUACUGGUUUAACAUCUUGCUCGACUUUCUCAACAUUGUUUUUUACACAUACAUAACAUGAUAUAGUUAGUAGUAUCCUAUUAAUCAAAAAAAUCAUCAAUAAAUUUAUAAUUUCAUUAUUAUUUGAUUCUAAAAUAAGAUUAGUAUAAAAAUAAAUAUUAUUUAACUCUAAAAUAGCUACAAACAAUAUGUUAUGAUUCAUAUUAUUAUUUUAAUAUUGUUAUAGUAACAUUAUAUUUUAAUAUUGUAUAGGUAAUCAUAUUCCUUUUAUUUUUAAAUAAAUCACAUGUCAUGAGGGCUUGAGAGAUUGACACAUGUCAUGAGGGCUUGAGAGAUUGACACAUGUCAUGAGGGCUUGAGAGAUUGACACAUGUCAUUGAGAGAUUGACACAUGUCAUGAGGGACUUUUAGUUUUGAUGAGAGGUUGACACAUGUCAUCAUGAAGGCUUGAGAGAUUGACACAUGUCAUGAAAGAGUUUUUUUUAUUAUAUAGGUAAUAGAUUAAAUAGUCUUGAGUUUCUCAUUGCAUCUGCAUAUACAUUGGUGUUAGUCACUUUCUUGUGAGGUGCUAAAAAUAAAAAAAGUAUUGUUCUUUUUCUAUCUUUUUAAAUCUGAAGAUAAUAAUAAUUACAAUAAUUAAUGGUAAAAUCAAUGUGUUUAAGCACUUUCACAUCGUUAAUCUUGAUACCCUAUUUUAGAAUGUGUGCUAUGGAGUCUUUAAUAUGUUCCUCAUCAUCAAUAAAUUCACAAAUUUAAAAGUUAAAGUAAAACUCUAUUUUGGUCUUUCAAAAUUUUUCAAUGUAUUCAUUUAGUCCUGAAAAUUGGAAAAUCCAAAAUAGUCCCCAUAGGUAUAAAAUGUUAAUAAAAUUAUAUAUGUUUAGCAUUUAAAUGACUUAUUUCAGGGUACUUUAGUCUUUAUCAAUGAUUAUUUUUACUUAUAUUUGUGAUUUUUUAUACUAAUUUAAAUUUUUUAGGGAUUAAAUUGAUAAAUAUAAAAAAUUUCACUUGUUCAAUUUUUAUCUUUCUUUAAGAAAAGAAGUUCAUCACCUAUAUACCACCUUACAUAUGACAUCACUAUAUUGAAGGUUCAGCCUUUGUAAAGCAUUCUUCAUUACUACCUUUAGGAGUCAAGGUUGUGUCUUUGUCUAGUGUGGCCAAUACUAGCAAUCCCGUAAUGAUAUUUAUUUUCUUCUGCACAAAAUAAGAAAUAACCCUGGCAAAUUAAAAAAAUAAUAGUGAAAAUAAAACUCACUUAUAUCCAUUGUCCCAUUGAAAAGUGUUGUAAAUGGCUUGCAUAAUUAAUUAUGGCAACAUAAAUUUAAUUAUUAGCUAAGUUAUAAUCAAGUUGCUCUAUUUAAAUGCAAGCAAGCAUCACAUGAAUUUUGAUGAAGACAAAGAUUGACAACAAUGUUUAUAAAUAAAGAUGAAGACAAAUGUUGACAACAAAGAUAGUAGAUAAAGCUGAAGACAACAGUUGUAGACAAAGAUCAAGCUUGAAGACAUGGACAAAUCAACAAACAAUAAGUCAAAAGUCAAGACUCAAGUUCACUAAAGCUCAAACAUUCAAGAAGAUCUAAAGGCUAAGUGUUUUUUCUAUUUUCUUAGGUCUUAAGAUGUUUGAUUGGGUAGAGUCUAGGUUAGGGGAACCUUAAUGGAAGUCUCACAACCUAAAAUUAAUCAUAACUAAAAUGAGAUUUACAUGCAUACAUAUAUGAUUUACAUGUACAUACAUGAUCAUAUGAUUUAGAUGCAUUAAAAAGAGUUUUAAAUCGUACAACAUUCACAGUCAUGUAUCAUAUUUUUACAAAUCAUGUAGGAGGUUCAUAUCAUAUUGAAAUAUCUUUUUUUUUUCUUCAGAAAAUCCUUAAUCGAUUAAGGUUUAUUUUAAUCGAUUAAACAAUGCAAAAUUGGGAAAUCGUUAAUCGAUUAAGUAUGAGAUUAAUCAAUUAAUGGUAGUUAUAGUUUCUGAAAUCUUGAUUUUUAAAGAAUCGUUAGUCAAUUAAGUAGGGUGAUAAUCAAUUAACUACAACAGAAAACAAAACUGUAUAUUAACCUAACCUUUUCCAUUUUUGCAUAUGAGUGAGACUAAUUUUUAACCCUUAAUUUUUUACGUUUUCGUAUUUCUUGAUUUACUUAAAUUGACAUGCAUAUCAUUCAGUGUUAUUUGCAUAUUCUAUUAUGUGCAUUAACUGGAUGUUAUUAUCUAUAAGAGUGCAUAUAAGUUUAGUUGAAUCUUGAUAAUCUUAAAGGUUAAGGGCAAAGAACAAGAACCGAGUAAUCGAUUAAGUUCUUGAGAUAAUCGAUUAUAUGCAGAAGCAAUUAAUCGAUUAAAUCAUUAGUUAAUCGAUUAAAUAGUAAAAAAAAUUGUAUAAUCUUUUAGUUAAUCAAACAAUGAUAAUUGAAUACCGAAUCACUUAUUACCUAUUCACCCAUUCUAGGUGAAUAAUAGAGCCCUUUGGAAUCCAACAAGAUGUAUAUAUAAACUAAAAUUUUAUGUUUAUUUUUAUUAUACCAUAGCUUAUGCAUUAUUCUUUACGUUCAUUCUUAUUAUAUAAAUAAACAAUUGAAAUUGAAUUAAUUACUUCAGUUGUCCAAAUGAAUCAAUUUAAGUUGAAUCAAAUAGAUUAUAAACUUUAAUCGAGACAAACUAAAGCUAAUAAUCUAAUUUGUAUAGAACUCGAGUCGAAUUCUAAAUUGCACAAAUCAUUAUUGAGAUAAAGGUUCAACUCGAUUCGACUUGUUUCUAAGUAUAACCAUGAAAACAAAAUGGAAAUUACUCUAAUACAGUCUUCUUUUUUUCCCUUCAGUUUCCCUUUCAUGUUUCAAACACUUACCGUUAGACAACCAAAGGCUCCAUCUAAAAUUCCAAUCUCCAUCGCCAUGAAUCACUACAUAAACUAACCCACUGCUCUUCCCUACUCAGCUUUUCAUUUUUCUCUUCUCACUCUCACUUAACCAAAAAGACAUGAGGCAAGACAACUUCUCUGUUCAGAAGAGAACCACCGCCGCCACCUUGCCCACCACCGCAGCCACCAGAUCCCGCACCAACGCCCUGCCACGUGGCCGUCAGAUACAAAAAACCUUCAACAACAUCAAGAUCACCAUCCUCUGCGGCUUCGUCACCAUCCUCGUCCUCCGCGGCACAAUUGGCGUCAACCUCGGAUCCUCCGACGCCGACGCCGUUAACCAGAACCUCGUCGAGGAGACCAACCGCAUCCUCGCCGAGAUCCGAUCUGACGCCGAUCCCAACGAUCCCGAAGACGAGACAUUCUUGAACCCUAAUGUGACCUUCACGCUGGGGCCCAAGAUAAGGAAUUGGGACCAGGAGCGAAAAACAUGGUUCGGUCAGAACCCGGAGUACCCCAAUUACAUUAAAGGUAAACCUCGCAUAUUGCUCUUAACUGGGUCACCACCAAAACCAUGUGAUAACCCAAUUGGGGAUCAUUACUUGUUGAAAUCCAUUAAGAACAAGAUUGAUUACUGUAGAUUGCAUAAUAUUGAGAUUGUGUAUAAUAUAGCACAUUUGGAUAAGGAACUUGCUGGGUAUUGGGCCAAAUUGCCUAUGAUUAGGAGGUUGAUGCUCUCACACCCUGAGAUUGAGUGGAUUUGGUGGAUGGAUAGUGAUGCAUUUUUCACUGAUAUGGUUUUUGAGCUUCCGAUGUCGAAAUAUGAUGACUAUAAUUUGGUCCUUCAUGGGUACCCGGAUUUGUUGUUUGAGCAGAAGUCUUGGAUUGCGGUCAAUACAGGAAGCUUUUUGUUCCGGAAUUGCCAGUGGUCGCUGGAUUUGCUUGAUGUUUGGGCUCCGAUGGGUCCCAAGGGUCCAAUUCGAGAAGAGGCUGGGAAGAUCUUGACUGCGAAUCUCAAGGGCAGGCCGGCGUUUGAGGCAGAUGAUCAGUCGGCCUUGAUAUACUUGUUGCUAUCCCAAAAGGAUCAUUGGAUGGAUAAGGUGUUUUUGGAGAAUUCAUUUUAUUUGCAUGGUUACUGGGUCGGGUUGGUAGACCGUUAUGAGGAGAUGAUCGAGAAGUAUCAUCCAGGGUUAGGUGAUGAGCGGUGGCCAUUCGUGACACAUUUUGUGGGUUGUAAGCCUUGUGGGAGCUACGGAGAUUAUCCGGUGGAGAGGUGCCUAAGUAGCAUGGAAAGAGCUUACAAUUUUGCAGAUAAUCAGGUGCUCAAGCUCUAUGGCUUUAAGCACCGUGGUUUGUUGAGCCCUAAAAUCAAGAGGAUCCGAAAUGAGACGGUUACUCCUUUGCAGUUUGUAAACCAGUUUGAUAUAAGAAGACAUCCUUCAGGGAGCACUGAAUCAAAAAGCUAGCGACUUUUGAGAAGAAAAAGUGCUUUAAGAUGAAUUUACUUUGGUAACAGAUCACUUGUAACAUCAUUUUGUUCUUUUUGUCUUGAUUCUAAUAGGAUAGAAUUCUUUCAUAAGUUAUCGUCUUGCUACCAUGUUUGAGUUAUUAGUAAACAAUUUUUAUUUACUCAUAUGCUGUAUGCUCAGCUUCAAUUAAUUUUGUUACUCUUGUGGAUGAAUUCAUAGACUUAAUAUACUUCUGUGCCGUCUUCAAUUAAUGAAUUUAUAGUGACCAUCAUUCUCUGCUUUACUACUUUUCUUACCCACUUAAAAUGUAUGAUUUUUUAACAGAGGUAAUGGCUAAUAGCCUGCUAAAUUUAAUGUUUGGAAAUAAAUUCUUUUGAUAUAUGGCAUGCAAUUUUGACUUCUGGACAAUCACACUUAACCAUAGAGUUAUACCUGUGAAACAACAAUGACAAGGGUGCUUUUACGUAUCUACACCCUGUAGUAGCAUCCUGGAACUUGUCAUGGUAAUAUUAAUAAAAUAUACAGAGAUGAUACUUGAAUAACCUGCUUUACAAGAUUCUUUGUUGCAUAGUACUGAGUUCUACGGUUUUCUUAUUUCCAUUUGUCAUAUAUUCAGCCUCCAUUAGGACAUUGCUCUUCUGCUGGAACCUUAAAAAACUUUGCAUAAAGUAGGAGUAAAUAUUCUUUUGUCAUGUAUCUUAUUAGUUAUUAUGUUUUAAUUUGGUCAUUUAAAAAAAAAUAGUGUCAAAUUUAGUCCUCUAAUAAAAAAUAGUGUCAAUUUAGUCCUACAAUAAAAAAUCAUGUCGAUUAAGUCCUCUCUCUAAUGUUUGUCAAUGUUACCUUGUUUUACCUGUGUCCCACAUACCGCACACUAUGUACUGUAUACCAUGUAUCGGGUUAGUUAUAAUAAAAAAAUUGUAAUAAUAAUGUUAAAAAUGAUUAACGAUAUAAAACAUGGCACAACAUACCAGAACCAGAAUUGGUAUGGCAAACCAUGUAAUCACCUUCUCUCUCCAUUUUUUUCUCUCAUCUCUAUCUUUAUUAUUUCAUCUCUAUCUUUAUCCUCUCAUUUUUAGUAAGUGUGGAAGGUAAAUGAAUUAAUUUGAAUAUUAAUGUUAGGAUGAAAAAUCAUUCAUUAAUCCAUAUAAAUUCAUUUAAAUUAUAUUUUAAAUUACUCAAUGUAUCCAUAUAAAACUUAUUGAAUUUAUCCAUGAAUCAAUUUUAAUGGAUCAGAUGAAUAUAUAACCAAUUUGAUUUUUUAAUUGGAAGUAAAGACAUUUUUGAAGAGAAUCAUUUUUAUAAAAAAAAGUGUUUUUAAUUUUUUUAAGAAACGUUUAAAAAAAUUAUUUUCUGAUUUAAAAAAAUGUAUUUUUGCGACACUCUACAAGCAUGUGGCAUUUAAGGUUUUAGUGUAAAAAAAUUAAGAGAUAUUUAUAUAUGGAAUGUAGUUAAGAACAAACUUUUAAUAUUAACCACAUCCAUACAUGGAUGACAAUGAAUACCUAAACCUACAUGUAUCCAUAGAUAAUACCCACAACAGGUCGGGUCUGGGUUCAUCUUUUUGGACCUGUAGGUAAUUGAGAUCCGAAAUUUUGUGACCCGGUGUUGAAUGAACUUAGGUAAUAAGGUAUUCAGACCCACAAUACCUGAACCCGAUAUUCCUUUUUAUAGAUAUAUCAACCUAAUAUUAUGUUAAUCAUAAUUGUUAUAUUAUAUGCUAAUGCAUAAUUGAAUAUAUUAUAUUAAGUCAUAAAUGUGAUUGUUAUGUUGUUAAAUAAUUAUAUUAUGUCGUUAAACAAUGAUGUUAUGUUCUCAAUUCAUAUUGUGAAGAAGAUCUUUGCUCCUGACCUUGACAAGGUUUUGAUGAGGACACCAACAUCACCAAAAAGAAGAAAAGGAAGAAUACUUAUGAAGAUAAAGAAGAUUAAAGCUUCAAGAAAAUUAGAUUAAGUCUCUAUAGGUACUUCUAUCGUAAAACUCUUAAAUAUGCUCAAACUAUUUUUAAAGAAAAAUGAAACACUUUAAAAAUACUUAAAACAUUUUUCAAAAAUAGUGUGUAACAUGUUACUUCAUCUAAGUAACAAGUUACGUGUGUGAGAAAAAGAGUUAUCCAACUUAAAACUGUUCAGAGUAAUCCAUUACUGCCUUUGAAUAAUAGAUUACCAGUUUUGAAAAAGUUGAGUAACCGAUUACCCAAAUGGUGCAAUCGAUUACUCUAAUUUGUUUCUAAAAGAACAGUAGACAGAGAGUUUGGGUAAUCGAUUACCCACUAUCAGUAAUCGAUUACUGAGAGUUGUUGCAUGAGAUUUCAAAUUUCAAAAUGAAAUGUUUUCACUCCAAACGAAAUCUCUUCACUUCAAACAACUCCUACACUUUCAGAAAGGCACUAUGAGUGUUUGGAAAGUCUAUAUAAAGGCUCUAACUCUCACAACACAAACACACAACAAUACACAACUCUUAUAAAAUUUCCAAAAGCUAUUAAACUUAUUCUGAAGUUAUUUUUCUACACUUUUUGUAACUAGCACUCAAACUUUCAAAAGUUAUUUUUCUGAAGUUGCUUAGAAGUGUUUCAAAGUUUUCUAAAAGAGCAUUAUUAUUUAGUAUACUUAAAGAGUUGAUUGGAUUGCAAGUUAUACUAUUGUCAUACUUGUAAAGGCAAUCUGCCAUUGUUGUACAUUCUUCAAUAUUGUUGCAGAAUACUUUCUUUCACGGGAUGUGAAAAGAAAGGGGAUUAGAAUCACUUCGAAAAGUGUUUUCCAAGAGUGAAUAAGAAUUAGGGAGUGUGUAAGGUACAUAGAAAUCUCAGGGUGAGAUAUUGUAAUUACAACUCAUAAUUCUUAGUGAAGAAAUCUCUUGUGAUACAAGAGUACUGGACGUAGCCUUCGGUGGACAAGAAGGUGAACCAAUAUAAAAUCCUUGUGUACUCUCUUCUCCCUUAUCUCUUUGAUUUAUUCUUUUUAUUUUCUGCAUAUAUUUUCCGCUGCAUGUUAACUCUUGUUUUUGCAGAAAAAGUGGCUAUAAUUUUUAAGUCAACUAAUUCACCCCAUUUUAGUUGCAACUUCGUUCUUACACAUAUGUGUGAUGUAAUGUUAUGUUGAUUUGAUGAAAUAAAUUUUUCAUCCUAAUAUUAAAGUUAUUUUUUAUGUUUGUUUGAAUAAAUUGAAAUGAAGUUAAUAAUCAAUUUAAACCGUGUUAAAUUAUGUUUUAUAGUUUCUUCUUUUCACUAGAUAGUCACAUAUCCAUUAGGUAACCAAAGACCGGGAGUAGCAGACUCAACGAGUAUCUGUACAAGUCUGAGUAGGUUUGAGUCAAAAAACGAAGCAACGAGAUGGGUCCAGGUAAUGUACUACCCCAACUUAUCUAGACUCAAUGUCAUCCCUAUUAUCUUAUUAACGACUUCGACAUUAACUUACACACCCUAAUUUUUUUAAAAAAAGUAUAUAUUACCUACAACUUUUCAAGCCCAGAUUGGGAAUUUCCCAUAUUACAAAGAAUGGUCACCACAAAUUAGAAAUUACAACUUUGAACAACAUAACAUAAGUGAGAGUUUCUGCUUCGUAUACAGACAAAAGUCUUGCCUUCAAACGAUGUUUCACUUCUUAGUUGAUUGAUUUUUUAUAUAGCCUUUGGUGCUUUUUAUUUCAUUGUUUUUAAUUUGCGUUUCAUUUUUUUCAUAUAUAUUUAACACUACUUCCAUUUUAUUUUUUUAAUUUUAUUAUUUCUAUUCAUUGUUGUCUGCAUUUAUUCUUUGUUUGCUUUAUUAUUUUAAUUUUAUUGUUUCCAUUAUAUGUUUAACGUUGUUACCAUUAUAUGUUUAAACAUUAUUUCCUUUAAUUACACAUGUAUCUAUUAAUCAUCCAAUAUAGAUAAUAAAUCAUAAAUUUAUACCUCAACAUUUUUACCAGAUAUAUAAAGACAUAGAUGAUUUUGUUGAUCACGACUUCUAUAUACAAAUUUAUCUUAAGGUAUUAGUGAUUCUUAUUCAAAAUUGAAUAGAUGAGAUGUAGAGAAAUUUAAUCGGAUGAAAUUUGUGCGAACUAAGUAGUAGCUUGCAACUUAGACCAAGCCUUAAUUAAAUUAAUAAAUUCAUAACUUAAAGUUUCUCAUUAUAAAAAUUAUGCAUUUUUCAUAAGCCAUAUAGUGAUGACACUAGAACCAUCCACAACAUUGUAACAAUUUUUCGAAGCUUUUUUUAUCGUCGAUCAAACGAGGAUGAGAAAGGAAAAGUAGUGUACGUUUGUAUUAAAAGUUAUUUAAUGAUAACUAGAUAUCAUCGAAAUUGGAUAAUGCAUAAGAAUUAGUCAUUGUAAUGGAAAUGACAGCCGGACAUAAAUGGAGGGUGGAUUGCACAACUCUAACAUAUGCAAGUUUAAAAUUGCUUGGAGAAGACAUAGGUAUAUGGUUGAUACGAGUACAAUUUUUUUCUAGUAAUAGAUUCUCCAAUAAUUGAAUAUGAUAGGAGAAAGAAAAUUCUUCAAUUUAAAAUUAUUUUAUUCAAAAUAACUUGAAAUCAUAGAUGUUAAAAAAAUGUGCUAAAUGUUACAAUCCUGGACUCUACAAUACUAGAUGAAAUCUUCAUCUGGUGGGAAUACAACUCCUCCAUGUUACUGAAAUAUGAGAGAAGAAAAAUAAUUUCUUCAAUUUUAAAUAUUUUAUUCAAAAAAUAACUUGAAAUCACAAUUAUUAAAUUCACCUAGAGAUGAUCCCCGGAGCUUGAGAUGAUGGUGCCAUGCACAAUGCUAGAAAAUAGAUUCUUGAUUGUAGACACUUCUAUUACAUCAUGGGGUAAAGUCUAGCUUUAAUAAGUAUAUCCAUUAAUUAUUCCGUCAUCGGUUCUUAAUUACACACAUUACAUAUUUAAUAAUAACAAUAAUAAUAACUUUUCCAAAAUAUCAUUAGAGAGGAUUUACAUAUUUUAGAAGUAGUUAAAUUUUUUUUACUCUAUAUCUUAAGCAUUCACUCAAUUAAAAUAUAAUAAUCCAGAUCUACUUAUUAAUUCAAAUUAUGUGAACUAUUAUAGUUUUAUAGAAUGAAUUGUUAAGAUAUAAAAUAUUUUUUUUUAAAGAAGGGUAAGUGGACCUCUCUCAAAUCUUUGGGUGAAAACUUUUCUGCACUCACCGCCCGCUUACAUAGUUUAUACUUUAAUAUCUUGCACUUGAGUUUGAGUAAGAAUUUAAUCAAAUGGUUCUUACAUGUGCAAUUUAAUCAAAUGAACAGGUGUUUGGUGUAUAGAAUGGAGCGGCAUCAACCCAACACCCCCAGAGAUAUGGUUGUUUCCUUACUUUGUUCCUAUGCACCCAGAUUCAUCUUAAUUUUAUGGUUAUCCUCUAAAAAAAUUAAAAUAUUUACAUUUUUUUAUUUUGACAUUUUGUUUUAUGUUAGCUAGUCUCAUAAGAUAAGGGUAGUUUAUCUCGAUAAUGCACUUUUCAAAAGUAAUUUCGCAAAUAGAAUAGUUUAUAAACUAUUUACUAAAAUGCGUAGUUAAAGUCCAUCUUUAUUAAAUAUUUUUGUCUUAACACGUGUCAGAUGUUGACUGGCUAAAAAAAAUAAAAAAUCUGAAAGCUAAAAAAGAAUGAAAAAGGGAUGAGAUACAUUGCCAUCUCUUUGUUUUCGUUUUUCUUUUACAUUUUCAGAUAAUAUUUAAGAUUAACUAAAAUAAUUAAAAUUAUUUAAAUAACUAAAGUAAUUAGAAUUAAAAAUAAAUAACUAAUAUAAACUAAUUAAAUUUAUUUAACUAAACUAAUUAAAAUAAAUAAACUAAACUAAUUAAAAUUAAUUAAAUAACUAAAGUACAUUAUUUGAAUAACUAUAGUAAUUAUAAUUAAAAUAAAAUAAUUAAUAUCAAUUAAAUAAAAAAUAUGAACUAUACUAAUUAGAAUAAUAUUAUUACUCUAAAUUAGGUACAACUAACUAAAAUAAUUAAACAAAUAAACUACAUUAUUUAAAUAACUAACAUAAUUAUAAUUAAAUUAAAUAACUAACAUAAUUAUAAUUAAAUUAAAUAACUAAACUAGUCAAGAAUAACUAAUUAACUAAACUAAACAAACUUAUUAGACAUGAAUAAAAACAAAUUAUCUUAUAGAUGAAGAAGAUGAGGGAGGAGGAGGAUGAGGAGGAGGAAAGAAUGCAAUGAGAUGAGUUAAAAUGAGUGAAGAAAAAUUAAUUUGGGUGGUUAGAGGUUGAGAGUUAUACAGUUGGAUAGUUUGGGUAUAAAUUAAUGUAGUUGAGUGAUAAGAGGUUUUAAAUAAGAGAACAUGAAAAGUAUAAAUGUUAUAAAAUUUUAGUUAAUAUUUUUUUUAAAAAUUGAUUUAAAAAAAAGAAUAUAAAAAAAGGGGUGAGACAUGCUGGUGUGGUGACACGUGGCAGCAUAUCCAACCCCUUUUCAUUUUUUAUUUUUAAAGUUGUGAGAUUUUUUAUUUUUUACUUUUUGAACUAAUCACCAUACAACAUAUGUCGAUGCAUAUAUAAUUUAAUAAUGGUUUAAGAUUUAAUUUUUUGGACCAAUCAACAUCCUACGUAUGUCAAGGUAUAUACAAUUUAAUAACUUUUUAAGAUAUUUUUUUGAACUAUCAAAAAUUAGUAAAUAGUUUAUAAACUGUUAUAUUUAUAUAAUUAUUUUAAAAAAGUGUAUUAUUGAGGUAAAUUAGCCUAUAACACUCAUUAAUAUAAAUUAAAUUAUGGACAUAUAUGUAUAAAUUUCAUAUUUUCUCGAAGGAUGUGGAAUGUGGUACCACACUAGAAUGAUGUAUCUAUCCAUGCUAUAUUUGGAACAAUGUCCUCUCCGAAACUACACAGGUUAGUUUUUUUCUUUUAAAUUUAAAGGUGAAAAUGUUGUUUCACUUUAGAUGAAAAUAAUAUAAUUGUCAUUGUAUUUUGUUUUUCUUUGUUUUUCCUCUUACACCAAUUCCCUCUUUAAUGUUGGAGAGUUCGCUCGUCACAGAUUAGAUGUCCUCAAUAAUAUCUUAUUUUUUGUCCCACACUAAUUACAUAUUGUCACACUAAUAAAAUAAUUUUUUUUAUAAAAAAAAGUAAUAUUCUCAUUGACUUAGUAUAGAGAAUGUGAUACUGUUUGAAACAUGAUCUCCAUUCUAUAUUUAUGAUAGAAAAUUUGUGGGUCUUAUCAACUCGAUUGAUUUAUUCCUUAGAAGAGAGUUAAACCCUUCCUUAGAAGAGAGCUCAACACCCUUCCUUAUACCGUACUUGAUUGGAACAAUACUAAAAAUUUAUGUGCAUAUCUUGUCAUUUUCUAAUUGUAUUGUGUUCCUUCUAAUUUUCUCCUAACUCUAUCAUGACUCAUGAGCAACGGUAAUCCACAGGCUGCAAAAUAUGACACUUUGGUAGAUUCGACGUUCCUAAAAAAGCAAGAAAAUAUUGAUUGUACUGAUCAGUCCAAAGCUAUUACUUUUUUUACUAAUGACGGUCCUAGCAAUUUUGAACCUCAAAAGUUGAAAACAAUUAUCAAAAGCAAGACCCAACCACUAAAACAACAAGGAACUCUAUAUCUUUUACAAAACCAAAAGAACCUUCCGAUGGUUAAUAUAUUGCUAGUAAUUUAAAUUGUAGACUCUAUCAUGUGAGACGGUUACAAUAUUAUGGUUGUGGUAACCACUACAAACGCAUCACACCACAAUUGAGGAUUGACAACACCACAUUGGACUGCAAGGCAACCAUAUUGCACCACAACACAACCACAUUAGAUCACAUUUGAGUCAUAUUAGGCCGCAUAAAAUUCAAAAAUAUUUUUUAAUUACAAAAUAAUUCAUAUCACAAUGGUUGCAAUACGCAUCGUAACAACCACAAUAACCGCACUCACAAUCAUAACUGCAAUUUAAAAUACUGUAUCUUGCUAAUGUGAAGGUAGAUGUGAAGAAUUCACUCCGAAAGUCAUAGCAACGUAGAUGAGCAAAUGAUUGAUUUUGAUGGUCAUAACAAGGAAGAUGACAAAGUGACUGAAUCACAACUUUCUCAUUUUGGUAGUGAACCACGAAUUGGUUCUUUCCUACCAUCAUGGUUCUUUUGAGAACUAAUUCCUUUUAAGGAAUGAAUCAAAUUUUUGCUUACAGUGUAAGUAAAAGAAAAGAAAAAUAACUGAUAAUGUAUACUCACUUACAUGAAUGAGUUACAAAGAACAAAAAUUAUUUUUAUCAUGAUGUAUUUCUCCUAUGGUGAAACACAAGUUAAUUCACACCUAUAAUAAGUAAAACUAGAAACGACUAUGCACAAAGCUAUAAAAAUACCACUGAAUAUACCUAUAGUGUACCAAAAUUUAGCAGGGCAACGUACCAUGUAUUACGUACCCGUUGAAAGAUUGUUUUCGGAUUCCCCCUCAACAAAUGGUCAAUUUUUUGAAAGAGUUUUUCCAAUUGCAAGUUUAUUUAAUUAAUUAGAGUGAUGAAUAUGAACAAUUUAUUUAAUUAGUGACUUUAUUUAUUUAAUCCCUUUUCGGGUACCUUUCAACCAUACCAUAAAUGCCAGUCUCUGUUUAUUAAUUUAAUCAUACCAUUUCAUAUGAAAGUUGGUAUCAAAGAAUAAUAAAAUGAAUAAAAGAAUAAAGUUAGCACUUAACCGUACCACUUCUUUCAAAGACUUGGUAUAAAGAAUAAAAGAAUAAAGCAAUAAAUAAAAGUUAGUUGCGGAAACGUAAAUGACGAAAAAUAAAUGUUAGUUGUGGAAAGUAAAUGUUAGUUGUGGAAAAUAAAUACAGAAAGCAAAUGUUAGCGGUUAGAUUUAUUUUUCAUCACUCUCUUUUUACAAGUAACAAUUCAUUGAUUGAAUUGCACUUUUUGUAUGUUGUUUCUAUUCACAUAGUUACAAAUCAUGAAUUGAUGUGCACUUUUGUGAAUAUGUUAUGUUUCAACGAAUAAAACUUAUAAGUUUAACACUUUAUUAUUUUACACUUGCAUCUCUUUCAAGAAUCAAUUGUAGUGUAUAAUAGUAUAGAGUUAUAUCGAACCAAAGAGAAUUGCAUAAUAGAAGAUAAUCAUAUAGGUAUAUUGUAGCAAAAAUAAUGAUUAACAACUUUUUGAUGGUUUUUGUUAUGUUGUUGCAUAAAAACUAACAAAGAAAGAUAAACUAAUAUUCACAAAUUCUUGAGGAGAGAAUUGGUUUGAAAUAUAGAAUUAUUUCUAAACUCAAAUGAUUUUGAAAACAUUACACAAGUUAUGUACUUUGGUUAAUUCCAAACACCAUGUCUUUAACUUUCCAUCUAGGAGGUCCUAGUAUGAAAAAGAUGAUUUUCAAACCUUGUUUAAUACACUAAAUAAUAAUUAAUUAUCACUCGUCGGAGUAGGUUGUCACAACCUACUUCAAGCUCCGUUAAAUUUAUUUAGCCUUUAACACAAGUUGCUUAAAAUGGAUGCUUUGAUAUGGCAAGUGAGCUAAGGUGUAGGCUAUACUUUUUAGUUCACUUGUUAAUACCUUAUGAAUAAGCAUUUUUGGAUCCUUAAAUCAAGUUUUAGGUGAUCAAACUAAAACCACAUUAAGAACUUAUUAAAGAAUUAAAAAGAACCAAAAGUAAUAACUUGAAUAUAUUGAAAUAAAAAGAUAAUACAAAUGAAGAAAAGGAAUAACAUUACAUCAGAAUCCAAAUUAAUGUGUAGGAGCAUGAGUCAUCUAUCUAAGGAAGAGAUGUUUUUGGAACCAAAUGAGAUUACAAAAUUAACUUUUGUAUCCCAUUUGCCAACUCCCGUCUCCUCUUGAAUUCUAAGAGAAAAUUACAAGAAUUUACCUAAGUAACUAGCUUGGAACCGUGACUCCAAGAUAAAAGAAUUCUAGAGAGAAGUUUUGUGGAGAGAAGAAGUGAAGAAUGAAAUGAAUAAUGAAUGAAUUGAAAGUAUGGAAGAUGACCUCUAUUUAUAGGCACUUUAGACACCGCCAACAUGGGGUUGGUCCCUUGUCCAAGCAGUUUAGACAGCUGCUUCUUGUUGACUCACCCAAGCUAUUUGUGAGCUACAUGAUCAGACUAUUGUGGGCUACUCUGAAAAGUGCUUAGGGGCCAUGUCAAGUGAGGUCAUGCAUGAUGUAUUCUUUGCUUUGUGGCUAAGUCAAGUUGGCCACUUGAUGAGUGCAAACCUCCAGGCUUCUAUAUGGCACCACUGAGCUGCCUACUUGAGCAAGUUGGUUAGGCCAGGUAGGUGCUUGGUGAGCAGGUUGUCCUGUUUGGCCAGAUGUGUGGUUCCAUGUUGGGCAAUAUAGGUGCAUGCUAAGCUGCCUGCUUUGAGCAGGUUGGCCUGUGUCAAGUUUGAGUUUGACCGUGCCAUGCUUAUGCUUGACCGAGCCAAGUUAGUGCUAGGUCAUGUUGGCCGACCCUUUGGUCCUCGCCAUGCUGCUUAGUGAGCAACUUCAUGUUUGUGGUUCAUGCUUAGGCUAAGCAUCAAAUUUGGCUUAUGUGGAUACCUUUGGCUUGACUAUUAUUUUGAUUUUUUCUUCUCUUGAUUUCUCCUAAAAACUUUACACAAAGACAUGGAAAAGAGGUGGACAAAAUAUAUAAUCAAAUUAUGAUAAUUUAUACAAAAGUGUUGAAUUAAGUUGGUUUUGUAUGAUUUGUAUGGGAUAAGUGCCAUGAAAAGUGUAUGAAAAUUAGGUAUUUUUGGUAAAACAUAUCCGAAUUGGCUUUGGCUAAUUUUCAAGAUAUGAUUGACAUGAUUUCAAAUUUUGAUUAAGCAUGCUCAAAAUUUCCAAUGAGAUUUUUCAAGAUUUGUAAAUUUCAUACAUAAUGCUUCAAACAUCAAUUUUAUGCUUAUGUUCAUAAAAAAAUGUGGAAUAAAAUAAAAGCAAAUAAUUUUCAAUCAAAAAGUGUUUGUUGUGCACACAAAUUCAAGGAUAGAACUUUUCAAGGAUGUAGGUGUUUCACUCAAUAUUCAACCAUUUGAAUGUAGUAAUUUGAACUUGUUUUUUGUCUCACCUAUUCUCUUAAAAUUGUAUUUUCAAUCAAGGAUCACUAAAGUUUUGUUUUUUGUUUUAAUGAGGCUAGGCUUGAAAAGUCAUGGUUUUUCUAGAUAAGCAAAUUUAUUCAAGAGAGCAAAGAUUUUCAACUUUUUUUCCAAUGAAGCACUUCACUCUUUUUUUUCUUCAUAAUUUCUUUUUCCAAUCUCUUAGUUUUUGAACUUUGGCUCUUUUUUGACUUUUUCAUUGUAUUUUUCAAUCUCUUUCUUCUUCCAUUUAUUUUACAACUUUUGUUGUUCUUGUAAAGAGAUUGAUUUUUUUUUCACUUUUCCUUUUCAAGAAGCCAAGUUCACCAAUUUCUCUCUCAACUUACUUUUUUUCAAACACUUUUAAAAAUUCAUGCUCUCUUAAUUAGAACCUUCUGUUCUAAUUUUGUUCAUGGGAUUUUUUGAAAAAAAUAAUUCACUUUGUUUGGCUUAAAGGGGAUUAUCAAAGGAUAAUCUUAUUUUUGGUUAGACUUUUUUGGCCAUUUUUGGUUCAACUAAAGAAUAAACAUGUCUUGAUCAUUUCUUAUCUAUCUUAUGCAAUUAAUAGAACUAAAGACUCAAACAAGUUUGUUUAGACAAAACAAAUGGUGAUUUUCACUUUUAUUCUCACGCGUUUGGCUCACUCUCUCAUUUGAUUUGGAUUUACACUUUUAUUUUGAAAAAUGUUUGCGAAAAUCAUGUUACACAAUUUUAAAAUUUUAUUUGCAUAAAAUUUUCUUGUUAUGACAUUAUGUGAUGUUUUCACAAUUUUUUUAAUCUUAUAUCUCAUUUUUCUCAAUGAAAGCUGUAAAAUGUGCUUAGCAAUUGUUUUCAAUCAUGCAAUCUUUGUCAAUUUAUUUUAUUUAAGGCAAUUCAAUUCGUUUUUUUUAUAUUUUUAUUUUAUUUUUUAUGGACAAACAAAUUACUUUCUAAAUAAAUGUACAUCCUAAAAAAAUGAUAAGUUCUUUGUAAUUUUCACAUAUUCAUCGACCAUGUCUCCCCUUUUUAAAUAAUGGAUUGCCCUCAAGCCAAUGAAAAAAUUGAUUUGUAAAAGGGAUGUUUGAUGAAUAUGGAAAAUUAUUAACAAUGAAACUUAAAAUUUUUGCAAACAAUUUUAAACACACAACAUAAUUCAAACUAAAAUUAAAAACAAGAAAGCAACUAAACAAGUUCCAAGUAGAACAUAUGGAAACAAGUUUUGCAAAGUAUCAAAUGCAAGAAAAUAAAGUAAAGAGAAAACUGAAUAUUCGCUUUGCUCAAUCUUCAUCUUCUUCAUCAAGCCCUUAUGACCUUACUUCCGGCCAUUGAGUGUGGGCAACAAACUCCUCAUAAGUCCCACCUUGGAAGUUAGGAUUUGAACCAUAAAUGCCAUGAAAGCUUCUACACAUGCUUGUGAUUCCACGAUAGCAAGCAAUUUGUUGUUGGUUUUGAAAGUGUUUGCUUUUGAACAAUUGCUUCUAAAGUGGAGUUGCUUGCCCUUCCAAGUGAUGGUUGAGAAGAUGAGCCCAUAUCUCCAAACGUUUUUCACAAAUCGGCCCUAGCUUGGUUCAAGCUUCUCUCUUUGCAAUGAGAAUGGACAUAAGAGGUGUUGAUUUCGGUUUUGAGUGCCAUGACCUCCCCAUAUGGUCCGGGUACUUCUUGACACCUACAUAAACCAAUAACAAAUAAGGGUAAGAUCAUAGAAACUAUACCCCUUGUGAUGCAUCCAGAGAUUGCAUCCGAGAUGAUGGCCGCACAGUCAAUGGAAUCUUCUUCAUAAAUUGAGUUGAUGAACUUUGCUUUGUUUAAAGGUAGAUCUGAGACAUGUGAGGCUGGCCAAAUGUUGGACAAUACAACGAUGAUCCAUAAUUGUGAAGCUUGAGUCAUGCAAAACCUAAACACCAGACCACUUUGGUGGACUUCCAACCCUUGCAAGCACAAACUCCUUCACACUUGAACAACAUUAUGUGCGUUUACUUCACCCAAGGACGAUGCCCUUAUUUUGAGCUGGUAAGUGCGAAGAUCAUGAUCACAAUUCGGGAAAGGAGACCAUGAGUUCCCAAGGUAGUCAUUGAUCAUGUACUUGUCAUAGUAUACUCUCUUGCCAUUGAUCCAUGUAUACUUAUUUGUUCUUGCCUCACCGACACAGUAGAAUUGCUUGACAACAUCAAAGGAGAACAUCUUCUUGGUUUGUGCAAGCUUGUUCCAUCAAAACUUCAUUACUAAGAGCAUGAAGCCUCCAAAUUCCUCCUCCUCUAAAUUGAUAAUCUUUUCCAAGACCGGUGCACUUUUGAGAGUAAUGUCAUUGAACUUGUGUUUGGCACCCUUAGAGAAAAAUUUGUUGCCUUUCUUGAAUUCCUUAGCAACUUCUUUGCCUUUCUUUGAGAAGAUACUCCUAAAAAAUAAAUUUCACAUGCAAUUUUUCCAUUCCUAAGAGUUAGAAACAUAAUUUUAAGGCAUUUUUUUAAGUAGGCAUACAAUAUUUUCUGAAGCUUCAUUCGACUCUUAUUAAAGUUCAAGUUGUGAAUAUGCUUUACUAAUUUUAUGAUGUCUUAAUAAUGUUAAAACAACCCCAACAUCAUAUUUUUUCAAUCAAACAAGCAUAAAUUCACAUAUUCAAAAAAGGUGUCCAAGUAAAAAAAAUUCGAAGUCUUUGUUUGUAUCAUAAAUUCUAAAACAUCCCCAUAAAUUCAAUGAUACAUCAAAAAAAUAUAUUUGAUGUUCUUAAGGCUAUUGGUUAAUGAAAAGUGGUGAUACAAGAAAAAGUUCACACAAUUUGUAAGGAGUCAUGUUUUUGAGUAUGUAUGGACUUUUUUCUCCUUAAGCAAUGUUUGAAAUGAUUCUUUUAGCCAAAUCAAAAUAGUUUCCAGUCACAAAAUAGAAUUUAAUGUGGUUAGAGUUUUGAAUUUUGGAACAUGAUUUUGGUAUAGAAACUUACUCAAUUUCCUAAACAUUUUUACCAUUUGGUUGAGCCAUUUUUUCAAACACUUUGUGUGUCCAAACCAUGGAUCUUUUUGCUUUCCUCAUUAAUUCUUUAAACAUCAUGAAUAAGUCAUGUUUGAGACACAUUUGGUCACAAAUUUCUUGUCUCAAACGAUUUCUUUUCAGAAAAGAGUUGAGAUAAAUUUUCUACUUAAAAACUAAAUCUUUUUAUCUUAGAAAUGUUUUUCACAUGAAAAUGGUUUCAAUCAUGUUCAACAAUAACCAAUUUAAAUAUUUAUCAAUAAAAAAGUAAGGAUAAUCAACAAUGAUGUAUGAGUUCUUCACAAAAAUUUUAAGAACAUAAACUUUGAAACUUUUUUAUAUAGGGACUUUCUUUGAAUUUUAUUUUUGGCUUGAUUUAAUUUUUUUUCCCAAUCAAAAAUGUUUCAAGAAGAACAUGAAAUAAAAGAGUAAAGCUUUAAAAUUGAAGGAGAUGAUACUUACAUGUUGAAGUUUGAUGCUUUGAAGAAGAAGACAGUUUUUUAGAGAAGAUAACUUUUUGAUCUUUCAAAAAUGAGAGUGAGAGGGAAAUUUUUGGUCAAAUGGGGUCUUUAAUGAGGUAAGAUUCAAAAAAGAUAAGAGGAUAAGAGAAAUCCUAUUUUGAAAGAUUUGACCCAUAUGGUUGUCCACCAGGGCACUAGGCGCCUAGUCAGCAUGCUUGGCGCCUAAUGAGCAUGCUGAUUGUAUUUGGCUUGGCCCAUGGCUUAGCUCAUACAAAAAAUUUCUACUCAUUUUCCCUCUUUUAAUUGAUUUUCAAAAAAUGUUUUUUGGACCAAAAAAUUAUUUUUCUCAAUUUUCUCGUUCAAAAUGAAAUUUAAAGAAUAAGAAAAAAAGUUAAUGAAGAAAAUAUAUGUAUAUAUAUCCAAAAUGUACUAGGUUACCUCCCAACAAACGAUUCUUUACCGUCACUAGCUUGACAUUUGUUACCUAUAAAAUUAGCUUUUUUCACCAUCCUCAUUCUAUUGCUCAGAUGAGCUGGUUUCACCCUCAAGAUGGUAUUGCAAUGCUCCAUUUGAUUACCUUAUGUAUUGGCUGAAAAUGUCGUUUUCUGAUUUUUCAAUCAAUUGUUUGGGAAGUUGCCCAAUUUGAAUCUCCAUGUUUCUUAAGGAAGCAUCAGUAUUUUUCUGGUUAGACAUGAUUAUUUGCAUGAAUUGGUUUAGUGUGUCUUCUAGUUUGACAUUUUUAUCCUGAGUUGGAUGUUGAUACUGAUUGGUUUUAGGGUAGAAUUGAGAUGGUGGAUUUUGAGGAUUGUCCUGCCUCCAAGGUUGAUUCCCUUGAAAUUGAUUACCCCACCCCCCUCUUGGGUAGUUGUUCUGAAAAUUCUGCCUUGGAGGAUUGUUGACUAAAUGGACUUCCUUAUUCUGAGUCUGACAAUGGCCCAUUUCAUGAUCAUCAGCACAAUUGUCGCAUAUGAAAACUUGUUUAUUUGAAGAUUCCCUGAUUUGUCUACCGAUUCUUCAUAUAAUCAAUUAACCAAGAACUUAAUCGAUUAACUAGUUCUUGUUCUUUGAAAACCAGUUUUCUUUAAUCUCCAAGAUUCAACUAAACUUAUAUGCAAUGUUACAGAGGAUAACAAAAUUAAUGUAUAUAAAAAAUCAUGCAAAUAACACAAAAUGAUAUGAAUACCAAGUUAAGUAAAUCAAGCAAUACGAAAACGUAAAAAGUUUAGGUUGAAAAGAAUGAGACAAUGACUUUUAUCCUGACCCGUUUGCUAGACCACUGCAAACUAAAUCCAGGCAUCCCCUUCUGAUUUUGGGAGAUUUUUAUUUACUAAUGAAAGUCAAUGUUUUACAAAACACACUUCCAAGCAAUACAAGACUUAUUUCUUAGACUAUGAAGAUCCCUGAUUGGUUUGACCCUCAAUGCUCUAUGGAUAAUCCUCACCACCUAUGGUUCUGACACCAACCAAUCUUAACUCACUUCCAAGAUCCUUGUAUAAGUGAAUACAUCACCUAACUACAGCUAGAAUUCCCAAACCAAUUAUCUAUCAAUGGUGAUACUAACACACCAAAAGAAUAUGUUUAUGCCAAGGUCUAUACAAAAAUGAGUUGUUGCACCUAGAUGUGAUGAAUAUACACCCUUCCAGAAUCUAAGAACCUUUCUAUAAGUCUCAGAAACUUAGAGUAUAGAAAUUUGAGAUGUAAGGUUUCUUUGCACAAAUUUUGACAAUACAAUUCUUGAAAAACUUCUAAAGACUCAUGAAGUUUUAUCUUUUUUCCAUUUUCUCUCUUUUUAAAAAACAAUUAGGAAAAUCUCUCCUUAGAUAUGAAAGUGUAUGAACAAUCUGGUUUUUGAAAUUGUAUAAAAUCUAUUGUUAUGUGUUAUUCUUGAUGCAAAUGUGAAAAAUUGAGUUAAUAUACAAUCCUGUUUUCUGGUAUAGUUAAUCAAUUAACACCCUACUUAAUUGAUUAACGAUUCUUUAAAAAUCAAGAUUUCAGAAACUAUAACUGUCAUUAAUCGAUUAAUCCCAUACUUAAUCGAUUAACGGGUUCCCUUAAUCGAUUAAAUAAACCUUAAUCGAUUAAAGGUUUUAUGAAAAAUAUACUUCAAUGCAAUAUGAAUCUCCUACACGAUUUGUUAAAGUAUGAUGCAUGAGUUUGAAUGAUGUAUGAUUUAAAAAAUUAUUUAAUGCGUCAAAGUCAUAUAAUCAUGUAUUUAUGUAUGUGCAUGUAAACCAUGUAUCUAUGCAUGUAAGUCUCAUUUUAGUUAUGAUCAAUUUUAGAUUGUGAGACUUCCAUUAAGGUUCACAUAGCUAGACUCUACCCAAUCAAACAUCUUAAGACCUAAGAAAAUAUAAAAACACUUAGUCUCUAAAUCUUCUUGAAUGUUUGAUAUUGAGUUAAAUUGAACCUUGACUUUUGACUUUGUUGUUUGUUGAUUUGUCCAUGUCUUCAAGCUUGUCCUUGAUAUUUGUCUAAAACUUUUGCCUUCAACUUUAUCUACCAUAUUUAUUGUCAAUCUUUGUCUUCAUCAAAAUCCAUGUGAUGCAUGUUUGUAUAUACAAUAUACUCAUUGAUGCAUGCUUGCAUUUUCGAGCUAAGAGUGCCUAUGAUAUACAAAAUUUGUUUACAAUGAGUUUUUGUUGGCAUGAUUAAAGAAAAGACAAGGAUGGAAAUAAAUCAUACGUCCUAGGGCAACUCGUUUUGCAACAACCUUCAUUGAUCUGAAAAACAUUCAUCAACACAAACAUGAUUUGCAAGCCUUUGGUCACUAGUAAAGAUUUUAUUGGUUUUAUACGUUAUAGGGACAAAAAAGAAGAUAGAUUUGUGGAGGUUGUGAUGAAUACUAGGUUUUGAAAUGAUUGUACAAUUAUUGUCAAUAUUGUGGCUCCACUCUAUGUUAUGUGUAUGAUGUGAUACGUAGAGUAAGGAAAACUAUUAAGAGGGUGUUUAUGAACAAAAAAAUAUUUGUAUAAGUCUUAUACAAGAAUUUAUAAAGCAAAGAUAAGAUAAAAAACUUCCAAAAAAUUAUAUUAUGUUGCAUACUUUUUGAAUUCAACAUUCUAUUAUGAUAAGGAGAAGUUUUGUAUCAAACCAGAUGUUCAACAAGGUUAAGUUGAUAUUUUACAAGCAAAAGUUACCACAAAUGAUACCGAGUUUUUCAAAAAAAGUUGAAUCUAUCGUGAUAAAGUUGAGAGUUUUGGCAAUACAAUGACAAUUGAAAUAGUUAAACACUUGUGAGCGGGUAAGAUUUUAAUUUGUUAAUUUAUCAAUUUAUUGAAAUAAUGUGUAAAAAUGUAAUACUUUAUGGCAUACUAAUUUUUUGUGAUGUUUUUUAGAUUAAUGGUGGUUGUAAUUUUGAUUUAGUGCUCCUACAGAAAUUAGUUAUUAAAAUUUUGAGCCAAACAAUAUCUUCUAUUGGUCAUGAAAGGAAUUAGAGUGUGUUUGGAAGAAUACACGUAAGGAUGAUGAAUAAAUUGGAGCACAAAAGAUUGAAUGAAUUAAUUUAUGUGCACUAUAACUUGGACUUAAAAAAUAGGUUUGUUAUUUAUUAACUUAAUUUUCAAUGUUUACUAUGUAACUUCUAUUUUGUAUUGAUAUAUCAUAUUUGUUGGAAUUAUAGGGAAAUUUAUAAAAUAAUAAUACUUGAUCAUGUUGACUAUGACAGAUGAAGAACAUUGAGUUUUGGAUUAGUGAAGAAGAAGAAACUCCAUUGAUCGAUUAUGAUGAAAUAGAAAAAAUGCUCUAUCAUGACUUAUCAAAUCGAAUACUUGAUUUACCAAAGGAUGAUGAAAGUUUGUUUUGAAUAAUUUUUUGGUACUACCAAUGAUAUCACCUCACUCUCUUUGGGUAAUGAACUAGUCUCUUUCGGAGUGCGUAACUUCCCCUUCCAACAAGUGUCAUUCCCAAGAAUCGAAUCGUUGAACAUACCAUAAUGUGCAACAAUUUUCUAAUUGUUCUACAAAUUAAUCUAAUGUAUAUUCUAAUAUGUAGGUGUUGUUAAAGAAUGAAAUACUAUUAUUGACGGAGAGUUGAAUUUGGAUUUUUUUCCUCAAGAAGAUGUAGAUAGUUACACUCAAACUAUAUCUCUAACCGACAAUGUCAAUUUAAGUUAUAAUGAAGACACUGUUAGUUGGAUGGAUUAAAAUAUUUAAUCUCUCUAUAUGUGAUAGUUGUAUCUUGAUUUAUAAUUUUAAUUAUGUAAAACUUCAACUUGUUUGAUGCACUUCUAUUUUGAUUUAUGUGUAUACAUUAUGCAAAACAUGGUAUUAUAAUUAUUUUAAAAUUUUAAUUAAUUAAGUUAUAUAUAUAUAUAUGUAAUAUUAUGAUGUCGUCUAGUUCGGUCAAACGGUCUAACCAAUUAAACUGGUUAGAACCUGUACAUGACAUCUUCCAGUUGAUAUCUAGCUCGAGUUUCAUUUAGUAAAACAUAUUAUAUACAAGUAAACAAAGUAGUAAGGUUGUGUAAAACAAGUUGAUGUAAAUGGACCAUUUACAGCUCCAGUAUACAAGUUUCUGAGAUCAAGUACUGGAAGCUUCCUGUGUGAUCUUACCAAGUGGAAUUUUGAGAAGUUAUUGGUUGAUAAGAAUAGUUAAGUUGGUCAAGAAUACCCACCAAUGUCCCCUUUUUAAAUUGAGGUAUGUUAUUCUCCCCUCCUAGCUACAUUAGUUCAGGGUCUAUUAGUUAUAAUAAAGUUACUUAGUCAUGUAGGUCAAUUUGAUUUUGCUAAGCAAGAUUCAAGGUGAGAGUAAUAAAUCUUUGAUGAUGUUGUAAUAAAGUUAAGAGAACAAUGUUAAGAAUAGUCUUGGAGCAAAUUUUCCACUUUGUGAAUUUUUUAAUUAAGUGUUAAAAUAGUAGUUUUAUUGUGUCCGUAGAAAUUCUGGAAAGCCUCGUGAGCCUAUGAUACCACCAUGCCAACAUUCCACAUUUAAUUUCUUAUCUUACAUUUAGAAUUUUAAUAGUGAUUUUCAGUCAAAAGAUAUUAUCAAUAUUUGUACAUACAUUUUAUGAACUCAUGAAUGUAUGUUUGAUGCUAUAAAAGAAAGCUCUGGAAAAAUAUUUAUGUUCAAUAGAAUAUCAAAAGUUUACUUGUAGCUUGAGCAUCCAAAGGUGCAAAAAUAUGUGAUGCUUGUAGAGGUUUAAAUAAGCAAUAGUUAUUCAACAAAGAAGGUCAUGUAUGAAGUGUUAUAUAUAAUAUUUCAUUUUCGGUAUCCCCUAUCCCCUCACUUUUUUUGAAUAAUGAAUUAAUUUUUUUUGGGGUUCGUGCUCCCCUCUCAACAAAUGUUGCUCACAUGAAUCGAACCAUCGACCUUAGGGAUCUUGUGAGGCUUUACACCACUAAAUCAACAUCUUGUUGAUCAUAUAUAUUAUUUAUAUAUAUGACUGAAGUGAUAACAAUUCUAAUAUAAAAGUUGUGAAAAUAAUAAAUCUCGGUCUUACAUUACAAUCAUAUGUGAAUAAUUAAGAUUAAAAGUUAAUUUUUGGUCACAUGAUCAAUUAUUUUAAUAUUGAUCGUUCAAAUAAGAUACAACAAUCCAUAUUAACUAUUUUCAUUUCUUACAAUAACAAUUGUUCCACCUAAGUUACUAUAUAUAUAUAUAUAUAUAUAUAUAAAAGAACAAUAAAUCUGGAUUUUAAGACCAAUCGUGGAUGAUUAGAAUUAAAAGUUAGUUAUUGGUCAUAUGAUAAUCAUGUGCAUGUAUUUUUUAAUCUUGAUUGUUCAAUUAAGAUCCAAUAGUAUAUAUUAAGUGUUCUCAUUUCUUACUGUAACGCAUUAUUCUCCACGUAGUUACCUAUAUAUAUAUAUAAUAUAUAUAUAUAUAUAAUUCAAAAGGUUACUUGUGGGUUGAGCAUCAAAGAGGUUUAAAUUUGAUGAUAAGCAAUAGCUAUUCAACAAGGAAGGUCAUGUAUGAAGUGUGGUGAUAUAUAUAUACACACCCAUAAAUGUAACUUUACAAUGCCUUCAAGACAUGGAAAAACAAAAAAAACAUGUAAUUAGAGUGUUUUGUGACAUGUGAUUGUCGAGUUUUAAAGAGUUCCAUGAUUUCAUUCUCAUUAUGCUUCCUUUGUAAGGGAUCACAAAAGUUGAAGUCCAAGUUUGUAUUGAAGCUAAGGUUGAGGUUGACAAAAGACAAAGUAUGAGAUUUUGGAUCAACAACAUCCUUUAAAGGAUUUAGAGAGUUUAUUGAGGUACCGAUAACAUUUGAAAGGUACUUGAUUAUGGUUGUCCCACCAUUGAAACAAGACAUCAUUGGUGUGAUCAACGAAUCAGGGCCUUGAUUGGAAUGCCAUGUUGACAUAAACAUUGCUUGAAUAACACCAUUUGAUAUAAUUGUGGUGGUGUUUGAAUUUUGUUCAUGAUCAAACUGAUUUGGAGACACAUUUUGAACAUGAGACUAUGAAUCUGUUUAGAACCAAUUAGAGAACCUUUUUGAUUUAUGGCACACAACUGCUACUAAUUCUUUUAUGAAAAAGUAUAUUUCUGCAACAAUUAAUGGAAUAAGAUAAUAAGGUUCCAUGAAAUAAAAAAGGCUCAAGCUAUAUUAAACUAAAUCAUAUAUGAUGGAAUAGAAAAGUACCUCAAGAUAGUCGACCACGUUCUCCUUUAUAAGCUUUUCAUCAUUCAUCAAUGUAAGAAUUUUUCCCUUACAACAUCUGCAAUAAGAAUAAACAAUAUUAUGAGACACACAUAACCACUUAUAUUUCAUGGCAUGGCAAAAAAAAUGAUAAUCAUGACAUGAUGUUUCCCCCAAGGUCACUUAUUAUAAGGAAAAGUAAUUAAAAAUUAUAAUAUGAUGAAAAAGAAUUUAUACUUCAUAUCAUUAUAUUUUGAAAGAAGAUAUGAGAGAGAGAGAGAGUGAAAGAGAGAGAAAAUCAACAUGCAAAUAAGAGAGAAAGAGUAAAAAGUAAGGAGGUGGGGAGUGUGGGAGAAGGCGAAGGCGUUUGGUUAAAGGGGAAGGGGUAUGGUAGUCUUAAAGAAAAAGGUAAGGAGGUGAGUGUGGAGGAAAGUUUCAGGAGUUUCGGGGAGGUGAAUGUCUUGAAGGUUGGUAAUAAGGUGCGAGCUUGCCUGGAGGGGCCUCCCCUGGUGCUGAGAAAAGAUAGCUUCCAUCCGAGAGGGUAUCUUAAAGCUCUCCAAAAAACUAUCUCCUUCUUCUUCACAAAUUUCCCAGAUUCAUUGGGGACUAUGGACAUGUGGAAAGAGUUUUCCAAAUGGGCUCGAGUAGGUGACGUUUUCAUUCCUAAAAAGAGAGAUAAGAGGGGGAGGAGGUUUGGGUUUGUGAGAUUCAAAGAAGUGGAAGAUGUCGAGUAUCUUAAAGAUAAGCUGGGCAAUUUCUGGAUUAGGCUUUAUAAAGUGAUUGUGAAUACUCCAAGAUUCCAGAGAAAUCCUAAUUCUCUUGAAAGGAAGUUGGUAGAAAAGAGGGAGAUUUCUAAUCAGGUUGGGCGAAAAAGCCCAACAUUGGGAGUUUCAGAUAGGAGAGUUCCAAAAUCGAUGGUGACUAGUGUUGGUAAAUCUUGGAAGCAGGUGCUUCUGUCCAGUAACAAUGAGAGUGUUUUAGUUGAUCAUGAUAUGUUGACAUGAUGCUUGUGUUUCAAGGUUCCUGAAGAGAACAAGGUUUGGAUGGAGGGUUAUUUGGUGGGUGAACUAAGAUUAGUUGUGGACGCUGGAAAUAUUCAGGUAUUGUUGUAUAAAGAAGGUUUUAUCUCUGUAAAAGCUUUCUUGAUUGGUGGUAGUCGGGUUCUCUUUAAAAGUGAUAAGCCUGAAGACCUAGAGGAAUUACUGAAGGAAGGUAAACAGUGGUGUGACUCCAUGUUCUCUAAGUUGGAUGUGUGGUCCAAUUUUGAAGAGAACUUGGAAAGAUUUGUUUGGAUUAAGUGCCUUGGUGUUCCGAUGAUCGCUUGGUGUGAAGAGUUUUUCAUAAUGUUGGCUAAAUCGUUGGGGACUUUUGUGAAACUUGAUGAAGGAACUACUGUUAAAAAUAGGCUUCAAGACGGUAGAUUUAUGAUUUCUUCAAAGGUGUUGGCAAGUAUAGAUGUGGUAAGAAAGGUUGAAAUAGAUGAUAAGACCUAUGAUAUAAGGACGGUAGAAGACCAGAGUGCUUAUUUUCCGUCUUGCUCCAUGGGGGGUAGAGUGAGUAUUGAGGAGGAUGAGGAUUCUGGGAGUGAUGAAUCAUAGCCAGAGAAGGAGUCUUGCUGGGGAGAAAAUUUGCUGGAUGAAGGGUAUGAAGAUGACGUGGAUGAGGUUGGUAAUUUCCCUAGGGAGGAGGGUAGGUCUCAUCAAAUCCUUUUAGGUGAUUCUGGGAUUAAAAGGGUGUCAGAGAUUUCUAUGCCUCUUUCCUGUCCUGAGCAGUGUGUUCAGACUGCUGAUGGGAAAAGCCCUGCUUCAAAAAAAUUAUUAUUAAAAAGGAAAGAGGUGGCUAAGAUUAAAAAGGUGAAGUGUAAGGUUGGUGUAAGUGAUGUGGUUAAUAUGGUGGAAAGGACAAAAACCCAAAUAAAGGAAGUAGUAGUGUAGAGGAAAUAUUGUCUACAAUAAAGGGUCGUAGCCUUGUAAAUUCUUCUGUGGAAAAGGUUUAUGAAACACCAUCUUUGGGCCUGUGUUUGGAGGCCCAACAGGGUUUUCAAAAUGGUGUUGAGGACCUACUCUCUUUAAAAGAUGUUUCAAGUACCGUGUCUGUUUGUAAUUCAGCCCACUCUAGUGCUAUGGGAUCUUUGCCUAAGAACCUAUCCGUGGACAGUAUCUCUCCUAAUUUAAAUCGGAACUCUCCAGUAAGACAAGGUAGACCGAAGAGAAAGGGGAAUUCUAGAAAGAGGUUGUCAAAUUCCCUCUUCAAAAUGGCACCUAUUUCUGAUCGAAGGAAAGCAAAGAAGAUAAAGAAGAAGUCCUCAAAGUUAAAGCCCCACCAACUGGAUGUGAUAUCCGAACAUGCCUCUAGUCACGUGGAUCCAACUAUUAGCAACUCCAUCUCUGACUCUCAUGUUAGGAAGGUAAAUAAUCUCCUUCUAUCUCAAGGAAUUAGUCAGUCUCGAAAACUCUGGGAUAUUGGAAAAAAUCUGGGAGUUACUUUUGAAGGUAAGGAUGAAGUGAUUAUUAGUCGUAUAGAAGCCAUCCAGGAGAGGGAUAGGAUUGGGUCCAGUUCAGCCAAACAAAGGGUUCAAUCUAUUAAUCCAUGAUUUGUGCAACUAUUAAUGUUAGGGGGUUGGAGAAUGGUGUACAAAAAAGGGAGGUGAAGAAUUUAAUCAGGAAGAAUAAUUUAGAUUUUAUUGCUAUUCAAGAAACAAAACUAGAAGUGGUGGAUGUUCAGUUGUGUAGAUCUUUGUGGUGUAGUGAUAAUUGUGAUUGGGAUUUUAAUCCGUCUAUGGGGAGGUCUUGGGGUAUUCUUAGUGUGUGGGAUAGUUUGAAGUUUCAGAAGGUUGAGGUGGUUCACGGUGAUGAGUUUCUAGCAGUGAAAGGCAACUGGUUGAAUGGUACUGUCAUGUGUUGUGUGGUUAAUAUUUAUUCGCCUUGCAAUUUGAUUCAAAAGAGACACUUGUGGGAUGCACUCUGUGUUUUCAAGGAGUCCCUGGGGCGUAUGCCAGUUUGUUUUCUUGGCGAUUUUAACUCGAUUAGAAUGCCUCCCGAGAGGAGGAGUGUGGGGGGAGUGGAGAAUUGUAGAGAUUCUUAUCUUUUCAAUGAGUGGAUUCGUAAACUCGAUCUUGUGGACUUACCUCUCAUUGGUAGAAAUUUUAUUUGGUAUCAAUCGGGUGGUGCUUGCAUGAGUAGAUUAGAUAGAUUCCUCCUAUCUAAUGAUUGGUUAUCUCUUUGGCCGGAUGCCUCUCAAUGGGCUCUCAAUCGAUCCUUCUCUGAUCACUGCCCAGUUAUGCUGAAGUAUAAGGUGGUUUCUAGGGGUCCUUCUCCCUUUCGUUUUAACAACUGUUGGUUACAGCACAAGGACUUCAAGGCUUUUGUCUCUGAUUCUUGGCAUGGCUUUGUGGUUACAGGUUGGGCGGCUUUUAUCAUAAAGGAGAAGCUUCAGCUUCUCAAGAAAAGCUUAAUCGAGUGGAACAAGUCGAUGUUUGGGUGCUUGGUGUGAAUACUCACUUUUGUCCGGUUCAAUGUUCAACAUUUAAAAUGAACUCCAGUGUAUAUUUAUUAGAGUUAUUUUGUGAAGAAUUUUGGCAUUUAUAUAUAUAUAUAUAUAUAUAUAUAUAUAUAUAAAUAUUUAAAUCCGAAAAUAAGAAAUAAUGAAAUAACAAUUUUGAAGUGAGGGUGCUCCCUGAAAUUUCUCAGCCACUAUGUGAGUGGGAGUUAGUUACCCAGUUUUAAGGAAAGAGAGUUAUGCUUCUAUCCCUUUUUUAAGGGGGUUAAUAAAGAUAGAGGGAGGCACACCGAACAAAAGGGGGGGAGGGAUCAGAGAAAAAUAUUGGUAAAGGAAGAAAAAGAGAGAACAUUUAGCAAAGAAAAUAUAGAGGAAGGCACACUGAACGAAAAAAGUAGAGGUAAAGCAUAAAAGAAUAGUGCAGUAGCUUCCAUAAAAGGUUAGUAUCUUUUUUUGUCAAUUCAUACAUUGUCUUUGUGUUUAUUGUAUAAUAUUUGUAUAUACUUUUAUGAUCAUUUACAUCUAAAACAUUAAAGGUCCUCUUUUGUUUAUAAGCAGUGAUAAUUUGCUGGAGUUUAUAGAAGUUAUAACAAUUCUCAUAUAACAUCUUCAUGUCACAUCUUUAUUUGUUGUUAUGCUAUUAAUUUAUAUACUGCAUCAGUAGAAAUUCAUAAACAUUAUGUUAUAUCUCAUGAACAAACAGAAAACAACACAUAAAUUGAAUCAAUUAACAUCAUUUUAACAUCUAAUACAGAAUCACCUUCAUUCCAAUAAUUAAAACAUAUGUAAUAUAGGACCAUCAUCCAGCAAAUUAAUUCAAUAAUAAUGGUCAUCACUUUAACUUAAAAAAACUAAAACCCCCAAUCUAUUAUCCAUCGCGUUCUAUUUCGGUAAAUGGUGAACCAAAAGAAAAGAAGAAGGCAUCAACCUGCUCCGGCAUUUUUUGACCGCCGCGAGGUCGUCAUUUGGGUCCUGAAAUUACGUCGAUAGAACAACCAAAAAAGAAGAAAAAAGAGGAGGUGGCGGUUCAAGGUUUCAUCCUCCUCCAAUCCCGCCAGAACCACGAAUGGCACCUCUGCUAUCGCCAAAUCGUGUCCAGGAGUGGGUCACCUUCUUAUAACCGCUGGACGGUGCUCCAGCACCCACCGCUACCUCUGGAUGGCCACCGUAGAAGGAGGAAGAGAGUCCAAUAGCUCUAUUGCUGCGAUCCGUCACUGGCGUCACCACUACAAGCAUUCCUAGCCGCAACUAAGAGUGGAACUUCUUUAGGGAUUUCAUUUUUUUUUUCCAUUCCUUUGUCUCUGUUAAAAGAUGGAAGUGUUUCUUAUUUUUAUUUUUGACUUACUGUCUUUUAUUCUUUUAUUGUCCUUGCUUUCUAAUUUUUUAUCAACUAAUUGGUGGCCCAUGUAUAAGCCCGUAGCCUUUCAUCCUUAGUAAUAAUUAGGAUAGCAAAAUCCUCAUUCUUUUAGUAUAGGACGUGUUCAACUUUAGUUUAUUUAUAAAUUAAUUACCAUAGUUUUAUAUAAUAACUCAAUGAAAUGAUACUCUUUUAAAUUAUUAUUAUUCCUUUCUUCCUCUAAAAAGUAGUAAUAGUUAUACAAAAAUAUUUUAAUUGGGAUAUAAUGGCGAGGUUACAACUUGUAUUGUGUUUUUCUCUUUGCUUCGAGUCGAGAACCGGCCGCGGUCACUUGUACUGCGUCUGCUAUCUAUCGAAGUGGGAAGAANNNNNNNNNNNNNNNNNNNNNNNNNNNNNNNNNNNNNNNNNNNNNNNNNNNNNNNNNNNNNNNNNNNNNNNNNNNNNNNNNNNNNNNNNNNNNNNNNNNNUUCCUUUCUAAGCAAAGCUUGGCUAGGCUUAACUCUAUUGAAUCUUUCUCUUUAUCAAUACUUGUGUCACUAACAUGAAGCCUCCUAAUUUCAUCUAACUCCUCUUCAGAAAGACACGAAGUAUCUUGUUCAUACCAUGAAGGAUCAAUGUCUUCUCCUUCACAUAGAAGGACACCAUGGAUUGGUUCAAAGCUUUCUAACAACAUAUGGACCCCGGAAACACGUGGAACAAUGACGGGUACCGCACCAUAUUCUACUAUAAGAUCAAGGUGAUAUUCACCUGAAAAUCAUAUCAUAACUCAUUACCAAGUUUGAUCAAUAGGUUAUUAUAUUCCACACUUGUUUUUUUAGCACUCAAACCACAAGAAAUUAGGUCAUAAGACUAGAACAGAUGUACUACCCACACUGCAUUUCACUCAUGAUUUUUAUAAUUUAAACACAAUUAUGAAUGUGACAUGAUCAUGAUGUGAUUCCAAACAUUAUCAUUAUCAAGACCAUAAUAUCACAGUUGCAGUUAUGGUUAAUUAUCAAAAUUUAAAACCCUAUUUUUCCCACAUCAGAUUAAUGAAUACACAUAUUGUAUCAGCAUUAGAAAAUUUGAUUGAGAGGUUGAAGGAAAAAGGAAACAUACCAACAAAAUCAACGAAUUUGUUCUUGCAAACGGUUCGUCUAGAAACAAUUAGAACACGAGGGAGAAUAACAGAAAUAUCUGAAGGAGUCAUUAUAUGUGAUUGAGUUAUAGUAAUGGUGAUCUUUAUAACAAUGGAAGGAUAAUGGGUACUUAUAAAAGACCUAAGCUUGUAUUGUAUCAAUGCCUUUCUUACCUUGUAGCUUCAUAUUUAUAACUACGGGAUAAGGACUCAUUAGCUACGAUAUCUAAUGCCUACGGUUUUGUUACUAUAUUCACUAACAAGUUACAACACAUGUAUAAAUAUAUUUAUUUAAGGAAAUAACUAAAACAUAGGAACUUCAUGUUGCGUGGCGCCACGUACGUUUAUUUUCAUUUUUUUUUUGUUUUUUAUAUUUUAUUUUAUUGUUUUAAUUAGGAAACAAUUUUGAGCUUUGACUUUUUGAACUUUUCUUCUUCAUGUUGCUAGUUGACUUUUACUUAAAAAACCAUGCACCAAAUGUGUAUAAUGGGUUUCACGACAAAGUGUUUGGCUACCAAUUACAAUUACUUAAAUCAAGCAAAAAUAAAAAAUGUAAAUAUAAACACACCUCACAAUUAUAGUUCGGUAUAAUAACAGGGAAUUUUUUAUUUGAAAAUCAAGUCUUCAACAUUGUAUUUAAAUACUUUAUAAGGUAUAUUUAUAUUUUAUUCACUAUCUACUUUUUUUAUUGUUAAAUAUCUAUACAUUAAUUUCAGAAAGAAAACAAAAACACAUUACACUAUCACAUUGUUGUCAUCAUAUGUUAUACCCAAAACAUUUCAAUAAUCAAUAUGGGUUGAUUAUGUUGUACGUAAAGUUNNNNNNNNNNNNNNNNNNNNNNNNNNNNNNNNNNNNNNNNNNNNNNNNNNNNNNNNNNNNNNNNNNNNNNNNNNNNNNNNNNNNNNNNNNNNNNNNNNNNAUAUUUAUAUUGAAUUUCAUUGUUAAAUUUAAAGUUAUAUCAUUUUGACUUUGAUUGCAACAUUAACACUAAAACAAGAAUUAAAUCUACUAACCAGUUCACAUAAUUUCUUUAACAUAAACAUAUAUAUAUAUAUAUAUAUUUUCUUUUGUUAUUACAUUAUAUCAUAAUUCAUACUUGCUCAAGCAAAUAUAUAUCACUCUUUGAACACCUUUAUUUCCUUAUCUAUACUUCUUAACAAGCUAUAGAUAAAUUCUUAAAUACAAUAAUAGAUUAAACUAUAGAGAUGUUUAUCAUUCUCAACAUAUUCAAUAAUAGAUUCUUAGAUAAACUUGAUUAAACUUAUUUAAGGCUAUGCUUGGUAGAUCUGAAGUGGAAGAAGUGAAGUGAAGUUGUUAACAAGUUGGUAAGGGAACCCCACAAGAACUAGUGACCCUUCUUGCACCAGGAGAGUUAAUAUAUUGCCCUAGGGCAGGGUUUCGAAUGUACCCACAUAAGCAUGGCUUUUGUUCCCUCAGUUUCUGGCAACAAGUGCUUGUGGGUGGAGAAUUGGAAGUGAUUGCACCAAGACAAGAGCUUAACUCCAUUGGGCUACAAUUCACAGCCUCAACCUUGAAGGACACUUCAACUAGAAGCAGUGUCACAAGCACCAUUGCACACAUAAUAGAGACCUUCUUCAUCAUUCUUUUUCUUUUAUGACUCCACACAAAAUAACACAAGUGUUUGUUUCUUAUAUUAACUCAGUGCUUUUGUGGCAGUUUAUAUAAGUGGAGGGUAGAGGGUUUGGUUUGGGGUUCAAUUAAUGAUAGGAUGGUUUAUAGAUGGAGGUAGUGAAGGCCAUGGUCCCACACAAAAAUGGGAGUUGGGCUG
rnacentral:lncRNA from 1 species